rnacentral:lncRNA from 1 species
GGAGCGCUCUCAAAACCUUUGGCAGUGUCUUCCACAUAAACAAUCUUCCCCUCUUUGAUCUGAGGCAAUACCAUCUCCAGGAACUUCGGGUAGAGAUGAUAGUAAUCGAACACCAAGAAACCUUCCAUUCUAAUCCGCUUCAGGACAAGGUUCAUCAAGUUGUGUACACCUUCGGGCUGCUCGAGAUUGUACUGUGAGAUCAUUCCACAUACCGCGAUUCGGCCAUGAAGUUUCAUGUUGAGCAGCACCGCAUCGAGCAUCUUUCCACCAACAUUUUCAAAGUAGAUAUCGAUACCCUCAGGUAAGCAUCUAAUCAUUUACAACACAAAAAGUCAAAUGGAGUUGGCUUCAGGAAUGGGUACAUAUUUUAUUUGCUUAAUCAUCAUUGUUAUACCAUAGCUCACCUUUUCAGUGCUGCAUCCAGAUCCGGUUCCUCCUUGUAGUUGAAAGCAUCAUCAAAUCUAAACUUGUUCUUCAGCAAAUCGACCUUUUUCGCAAAAUAGCAGCAAAAAGAACUUUUAAUAGAAUGAAAUUCGGAAGAGAACAGUAAGACUGUAGUUAGUGAAAUGAUGAUGAUGGUAUGUAUACAUUCAACAGUGCCAUCACUCUUGAGCAUUCUCAAAUUUAAGAAAGCCAGCACUCAUCAACCGUGAUAUGAUUACCUUCUCUUUGCUACCAGCGCUGCCAACAACAUAACAACCAAACAACUUUGCAAACUGGCCAACGAGCUGACCGACGGCUCCUGAUGCUGCCGAUAUGAAAACAGUCUCUCCUUUCUUAGGAGAGCAUACCUCGAAAAACCCGGCAUAAGCUGUCAUGCCAGGCAUACCUGCCAAGUUUAAAUUUGUAGCAAUUAGACAAGUCACAGGAUUUGCUGAAGCAUACGUGUAGGAGUGGUUAUGCUAUGGGAAAAUCUCAAAUGGUCCGAUUAUUGCCCAAAGGUGAAGCCCGAGAGAAAUGUAUUGACUUCCCAAGGAAAGCUACUAUUUCCCUAGAAAUAACUGAUUUACAUGCUUCUUUCAAAGCAAGAAGACAGCUUUGAAUUAUUGGCCCUGUCAUUCAAACAAUUCAACGAGGCCAGGAGGCUCAUCAACAAUGAAAAUCCCUACAAGUGAUAUCUUAACUAUCUGAUUCACCUUAUUCAUUAACUAUAGAGAGACAUUAAAGUUGAUGAUUAUAGAGCAUACCCAAAAGGCCAGUGUAGUAAGACAGAGGAACAUCAGUGUGUUCAAUCUUAAAGCAAGUCUCUGGUGCAGUAAUUAUACUAUACUCCUCCCAUCCAGUGAAACCCCAAAGCAAGUCGCCUUUCUUGAAGUUUGGAUGCCCAGAUUCCAAAACUCUAGCUACUCCAUAUCCAGUGAUAGGCUGCAUCGAUGUGUUAAAUACUUCAAAUAUAAGUGCAAAUAGUUUAGCAAACAAAAAUAGACAUCGUACUUCCAAGAAGGAAUGAUAAGACAAUUUCAUAAUCAGAUGCGCUACAGUAACUGAGACCCUUUCACUUUAACCUUUUCUCUGAUAUAAAAAAGUUUGCAACUUGUGUUAUAUUGAAGUAAGGUAAGUCAAAAUGCAGCUUUCUUAACACUUAAUAUAGCUUCCAACAAACCUAGAAGAAGAGCGGCAUAAUUUUAAUAUCUCAGCAGGAAUAAAAUUGAAAUCCAAAGUAAUACAUUGGAAUCCUAUGCAAUAUGCUAAAGGAUGCGACCAAAACUCUGCUUAUCCUAGAGUCAUGUUUAUUUUAUAUUUCAAUGAAUACAUCUCAUCGUCCUGUUUCACGUGCACGCUAUCGGUCACCAUUUGUCAUGCUUACACAUGAGUGGGAGUGUUAAGCAACUUGCAUCACUUUACCCUGUGAUUAUGUGGACUUUGUAAUCACAAGACAUGUAAAAUUCCUUUGCCAAAUAGCACAAGUGACGCUCUUUCGACACCCUAAGCUCUUCAAUCAUUUGCCGAAUCUCAUACCGACAUCGCAAACCAUUUCUACACUUUCAAAGCCACCACCAAUUGGCUCACAAAAGAUUUAGCCAUGAUAUUGGGGAAAAAAAAAAGAAUAGACAUACAGCACAGAGUCGCCAAAUCCUUUGAUUCAAAUGAUUGGACAUAAUCAGAACUAAUGCUUGGCAAGUCCUCGUAUAUUAAUUUAGCCAAACCUGAGAUCAUGAUCCAACACUCAGGAAAACUAAUAUAAUAACCGCCGCCUUAAAACAACAUAAGCAAUCCCCAGAGCAAACUGGUCAAAAUUGAAAAGGACAGCAAUAUCAUACUCAAAAAAAUCCACAUCAUCCGACAUCCGGAGCUUAUUUUAUUCACUAAUUUCCCAUUUCAACUACGAGGAAGACGAGUUUGGCUCUCGAGUGGAUGACCCCCUUUUCUCUUUCUAUACUCUUUUGGAGAAAAGACAAAACUUGACACGAAAGGAGUAUUGAGGGGCUUGCUCACCGAACCAGGUUUGAAGGAAUCGACGUAACCCGGGACGUCGAGCUUCUCCAUGCGGUUCCUCAUGUAAGGAUCGCAGGACAAGUAGAGAUUUUUCACGAGGAGGCCGCUCGAGCCCUCCGGGAGGCGCAGCUUCGUGGUCGAUUCCCGCACCUCCAUGUCCGUCUCCUUGGGGAACCCGCUCACGAAGUCCCUGAAUAUCACUUGCUUGUUCCUCACUACCUCCCCAUCCUCACUCGCCAUCGCUCCUCGCUACUCCUUUCGACGAAACUCGAGAUACCCAGAAGAGAUAAGACGAGCGGGCGUGGAGGGUGUGAAUUCAGUACCCUUUUUAUCGACCGGGCCGGGCGCGGAACGCGUGGAGGGGCCUCGCGGGGGCAGAAAAAUGCGACCUUUCGUCUGGCGUUUUUUCGCCUCAGAGACGUACGUAGGAUGGCGUGGCAGCGAGGGCGAGAUGGUUCUGGAGAUGCUCCGCGAGGAAGACGACAACGUACGGGGGUGUUGGCAUCACGCUUUCCUCGUAUGCAUCGGGUCGGUUUUUGGAGCGGAUCGAUCGGUCGGUCAUUCAUGACAACGCCGCUCCCUUGGUUGACUUGGUGGGUCUUCUUUUCGUCGUCCUGUCGAAUAUUGUGGCCGAAAAUGAUCGUGACCCUUCCCACGUUUUCUACAACCCAGAGGAAACGUGAAUGAUUUUCCGAGGGUUAAAAUGAUUAAACUAAGGAAAAAUAUUUUUAAAGAUAAAUGCAUUAAAAGUUCUAAAAUUUAUUACAAAAAUUCAAUCAAGUAUUAAAACUUAUCACAAAAGUUCAAUCAAAUUUUAAAACUUGUCUCGAAAGUACAAUUAAAUUCUAAAAUUUUCAAAAAACGCAAUUAAUAAAAAGAUUUAGAUUGGAUUAAUUUGAUAAAUUUUAGAAUUUGAUUAUAUUUUUUUGAAAGUUUUAUGAUUUAAUUGUAUUUUUGUGACAAGUUUUAUGACUUAAUUAUAUUUUUUUUGGAAAUUUUAGAACUCAAUUACAUUUUCAAUUUUUUUUUAGGAUUUCCAAUAUACUUACCCCGAUAUUUUUUGAAUCACUAUUUUUGGCGAGAUAAAUGGAAUGUAAAAGCAUGCACAAGAAUCGCGGACAGAGUGAUUUCAUGAGCUUGUUGCAUCUCUAAUUCAUUUGAAUAUGUUUCUGCCCUUGCUGGAGUUCGACCCCAAUCGAGGAAAAAAGAGUGUCGUCCUUCCUUUCUAGCGCGCUAGAUUCAUUCCAUUGUUGGGAAACUUCGACCGUUCAAUGUGAACUUUGCCAGCAGGCAGCAGCGCAUUCCUAUGUGCAGGUGUGGGGAAGAGACAAGCGGGGAAGUUUAUGUUGAUUGCGGCUUGAAGUUAAUUCCUAUUGUUUUUUAAAUUCGAUUUAUAAUUGAAUCGCAGUCCAAACGAGGCUCUUGCCAGCGGAAUUGUGGGUGAUGCAAAAAAGGUGAUUAAUUUCGCAGAACACUUCUUUUCCUUGAUGAAGAUGAAGUCCGUGUUGACGCCAGAGAAGUGCUCAUAAUUUUUGACAAUGUAAGUAUCCUCUUGUUGAGUUUGAUCUGCUUUGCCUAGUAAAUGCGCUCAAUUACGUGAAAUUGCGAGAAACACAGAGAGUGUUGAGUGCGGUCAUCCAAAAGAGUUGAGAAUGUGACAAAAUUCCUUUCUUGCGAUUGAUUUUUGUGGGUUCGAGUUUAAUCUAGGACUAGAAGUCACUUACGAAAAAUGGUGAUUGUGCUAUUAUAGUCUUAUCUUGGACUUCUACGAAGUAUGAGUUGGAAAAUUUUACUAGGAGAAAUUACUUUUUAAGGAGUGGCGCUUUAAGAUGCGUGCUUUGCUGGAAACAGAAAGUUUCACUAGAUUAAGAAAACUAAAGGAAAGGCUGACAUAUUGAAAAAGCUAGGGUUAUUAUUCUGCUGGUAAUAGGGGACGACGUUCUGUUUUAAGAGGCAAAUGAGACGAGUGCGGCUGUAAUUUGGAUGAACCUUGAUGCGCUGUAUAUGUGGAAAUCGCUCUCAAAGAAACUUUUCCUGAUACAAUGUUCCUUCACUUUCAACCUGGGAUUGCCUCUAUGAGUUUAAUAGUCAUUUUUGAUCUGAAAAAUGUGGAGGAAGAGGCAUCUGAUCAAUGGCAGGCUAUGGUGCUACUUUGUUCUUUGCCCAGCUCUUACGAGCAUUGUUGUCUGUCAAAUGAGGAGUGAGAGUGAGAGCGCAUCUGUUGAGGAGUUGAAGUCUGCACUAUUGGGGGCGGUGCAGUGUUUAUCGCAACAGCAUUGAGUGCAUUGACUCAGUACAGAUCAGGAUGCAUGACGGGAUCAUCAGAGCUUUGUGAGAUGUUCAAAAUUUCUGGAACUGAGGAAGAAUCUGAUUUCUAUUGGUACGUUGGAUUCUCCAGGUUGUCAGUAAACUUAUCAAAGGUGCAAUCGUGGUCAUGAAGGGCAAGCGAACAAGCGGUCCCCAUUAUCUUCAGGUUAGAUAGACACAUGUUCAGCAACUACAGUUUCAUCCAUGUUGUCAAACUCAAAUUAGACAAGUUUGUGCCACAUGAGACUGGGCACAUAACUAAGAGACGUAUGAACACUAUGAGUGAGCAAAGUCUUUUAUGUGGGUUGAAAACCGAGAAGUAGGACUUUUGCGAAUAUUGCGUGUUUGACAAGCAACACAGAGCGAAGUUCAAGACGGCAGUUCAGACCAAGGAUACAAUGGUUACUUCCAUUCAGACUUGUGGGGACCUUCUCAGGUGCAAUCUAAAGGAGGUGUCAGGCACGUGGUAACCUACUUUAGCCCAGAAGUCUCGCUUUACUCUCUAAAGCAUAUUAAUUGGGCUUUUGUAUGUUUUAAGCAGUUCAAGCUUUUGAUAGACAACAGGUAGAGUUCUGUUCUCAUGAGUUUGACAAGUUAUGUAGAGAAAACAGAACUGACAGGCAUGGCACCGUGCCUGAAACACCAGAGUAAAAAGGAGUUGCAGCAUGAAUGAACAAGACUUUGCUCGAGGGAACCUGAUAUUUGCUGUUGAAGGCUGCAUUGUCACAAGAUUUCUAGGCUGAGGCCGUCAACUUGGCAUAUCACUUGAUUAACAUAUCUCCAGCAUUUGUCGUGUUCCGAAUUCUAGAGGAUGCAUGAACUAAUCAACCUGCUGAUUACUUGAGCCUGAGAGUGUUUGGACGCCCUGCUUAUGUUCAUGCUAGGGAGGCAAAAAGGAGUACAUAUUCCUAGCCUAUGCACCAGAGGUGAAAGUUUAAAGGCUGUGGUGUUCAGACCCUAAAUCACCGAGAUUCAUCAUCAACAGAGAUGUCACCUUCGAUAAAUCAACGAGGCUCCAGAGUAGCAAGGAGACCCAUGCUGUAAAAAGGGAACAUGGAUAUCAAGUAAUGAGUUUGAGAUGAAAGAUUUAGGUUUAGCCAAAAAUAUAGUUGGUAUGCAGUUUGAAAGAGAGAGAAGUCAGGAACGUUUCAGCUAUCACUGGGUGAUUGCAUACGUGAAGUCCGGAGGCAGUUUAGCAUGUGGAACGCCAAGCUAUAAGUGCCCCACUAGUUGCGCAUUUUAAGCUGACUCAUUCACGAGAAACCACAACCACCUGUUUCCCGACAUUGCGACCAGAGAACACCCCGACGAGAGCUGCUGGACUGCUCUCGAGCCCUUCCGCGAUGUCUUCCGUGUACACAAUCUUCCCCUCUUUGAUCUGAGGCAAUACUGUCUCCAGGAACUUCGGGUAGAGAUGUUGGUAAUUGGACACCACAAAACCUUCCAUCCGAACCCGCUUCAGGAUAAGGUUCAUCAAGUUGUGUAUGCCUUCGCGCUGCUGGAGGUUGUACUGUGAGAUCAUUCCGCAUACUGUGAUUCGGCCAUGAAGUUUCAUAUUGAGCAGCACCGCAUCAAGCAUUUUUCCCCCAACAUUUUCGAAGUAGAUAUCGAUCCCCUCAGGGCAGCAUCUAAACAUUUAAGACAAUGGGUACAAAUUUAAUAUCCUGCACACCAAUCAUCGUUAUUGUGUUCCAGGCUCACCUUUUCAGUGCUGCAUCCAGAUCCAGCUCCUCCUUGUAGUUGAAAGCAUCAUCAAAUCCAAAUUUGGUCUUCAGCAAAUCAACCUUUUUCACAAACAUAACAGCAAGAGAGAACUUUAAGUAAGAUGAAAUCCAGAAGAGACUAGAAAGACUGUAUUUUUAGCAAUUAUGUUUAGUGAAAUGAUGAGGGUACACAUUCAACACUGCCAUCAGUCUCUUGAGCAUUCUCAAAUUUGAGACAUACAGCACUCAUAAUAUCUCAAGUGCUUCUUUUAGAUCUAAUUCUAUUUGAGUUGACUACAGGAACAUGCACUCUAUUUCAGACGCUUGUCUAGUCACUCAUCAUGAAACAACAGUGAAAAUUGCAGAUGCCAACCAUGCUUGGUGAACCAUUAACAUCGACACAAUUAUGUGCUUCUUUCAACACUAGACAAAUGUGGGAUGAUUACCUUCUCUUUGCUACCGGUGCUGCCAACAACAUAGCAACCAAACAUCUUUGCGAACUGACCAACAAGCAGACCAACGGCUCCCGCUGCCGCUGAUAUGAAAACUGUCUCUCCUUUCUUAGGAGAGCUUACCUCAAAAAACCCGGCAUAAGCUGUCAUGCCUGGCAUUCCUGGAAAGUAUACAUUUGUUGAAAUUAGACGAGUCACAGAUUUGCUGAAGCAUAAGAGUAGGAGUGUUAUGUUAUAGCAAAAUCUCAAAUGAUCUGAUUAAUUGACCGAAGGUGAUGCCCCUGACAAAUGGAUGAGAAAUAAUCAGUUUACACACUUCUCUCAACACAAAAGAUAGCUUGGCAGGGCUCUAUUGUUGAGACAAUUCAACGAGAGCAUACGGCUUAUUAACCAGGAAGAUCCCUACAAGUAAAAUUCAAAGGAAGCACGCUUUUUCCUUGCAUAGCUAGAGGCUGUCCGUACUUGAGAAUGAAACAGAUAGAACAAAGUAUCUUGGCAAUCCCAUUACCCUCAUUCUUUAACACUGAAAGAGAUAUUACACACGCUUUUUCCUUGCAUAGCUAGAGGCUGUCCGUACUUGAGAAUGAAACAGAUAGAACAAAGUAUCUUGGCAAUCCCAUUACCCUCAUUCUUUAACACUGAAAGAGAUAUUACACUAGAUGAUCAAAGAGCAUACCCAAAAGGCCGGUGUAGUAAGACAGAGGAACAUUGGUGUGUUUGAUCUUAAAGCAAGUCUCUGGCGCAGUAAUUAUACUAUACUCCUCCCAUCCAGUGAUGCCCCAAACCAAGUCACCUUUCUUGAAGUUUGGAUGCCUGGAUUCCAAAACUCUAGCUACUCCAUAUCCAGUAACAGGCUGCAUCAAUGUGUUACAUACUUCAGAAUAUAAGUGCAAAUAGAUUUAGCAAACACGAAUAGACAUUGAACUAACAAAAAGGAAAGAGUUUGUUUCAUUUGAAUUUUACUUGUCGAGUGGACUUGUCACAAAUUUGAGCUUGAUUUAUUCAUGCGAGUUCAUAACUUACUGUUGGGAUCAUGAAUGAGUAAAUGCAGCGAAAGAGGUGAUUGCACUUACAGAACCAAGCUGAGUGAGGUACUUGAUGAUGGUGAGAUUGUAGGGAUCGCAAGCCAGGUACAAGUUUUUCACGAAUAUGGUCCCCAGACCGGAGUUGGCCUUCAAUCGCUCCGAACUCGUCCUCAUUUCCAAGUUGGUCUCUUUCAAGAAACCUCGUACCUGCUCUCUGUAUAUAACCUGUUUGUUGCUCAUCACUUCCACUGAAGCAUCGUUGUUCUCCUUCUCCAUCGCCUUUCUCUCUCUUCUUGGAUUUGAUUGGUUAGAAACAUAGCCGAACAGUGCACUUGUAUUUAUAGGGAGAUGGGUGAUGAGAUAUGCAGACAUUCCUUCCGUGUGCUCGUGUCGUCGGCGUGUAUGUUUGCGUGUGCCUUUGUGUCGUCAGUGGAAGUAUUAUUCCAAUCCCUUGGGAAAAAGAAGUCGAUCAAAGUGGCCAAUUGAAUUCUAAUAAUUAGCUUGACCAAAAACAAAUUCUAAUCAUUAGAAAAUGAUCUGAUUUGCAGUAAAAUUUUAAGAAAUCUUUUAUGUGGUAAGGAAGAAUUUGAAGAGAUAUUUUGUACUAGCAUCACCAAUAGCCACAAAAAAUUCCUUUCUUCAGCACAAGCGCAAAUUGCCAAGCAAAACCCAAAUCUCUCUCACGAAAAUGUGUGGCUGAGGGUUGACCUUCCAUAUUGCAAGGUAAUGGGAUGGUUAGCCAAACAUUUUCCAAUAUAAAAUCCUUCCUUUUGAAGAAUUAAGGUAUGCACAUCACCAGUUUUCCCAUUCCACACAUCCCUGACCUCCCUGACUUGAAUCGAGUGUAAUAAUGUGAGGAUGUAGUGGGGUGGUGAAAAUGGUAAUCAUUGAUUGAAAAAACAAAUGAUGAAUGAAUGAGCUUAUAUGUGUCGGCCUAAAAAUUCUGAUCUAGACUUAUCCAUGAUUGGAAAAGAUUAAAAAAUGCUGUUUAUUUAAAUUGAUCGUGUCUGAACAAGCCUACCUAAACCUAACUGAGCCAAAUCUGAAAAGGAAACGGCUUAAUUAGACUUGCCCAUUUUCCGAUUUAGGCCCAUACAGUCCAUGGUCACUUCAACAACAAAGGUGCGAUAAGGAGUCUUUAUUUUUAGUCGACUUUGGAAUCUACCUCCCUCUUUUAAUAUUCGAAAUUUUGAGAUGUCGUGCCAUGAAAUCUCUCUGCUAUUGGACCGCUCAAAUAUGAUGAUGGAGGCUUGCUUGGCAUCCGUUGCUCUUACUUCACUUCACUAGUAGGCCUCCACAUAAUUUGCAGUAUUCUCGAUAAUUUGCAGUAUUCUCGAUAACUUAAUAAUCUGCUUAUUGAUGUAAUUCUUUAGCUAGUCGUCGCUUUGCAUUUGGAUCGCUAACUUUGGACGCCAAGUAAGCGAAAUCUAUAUAUGUUCCACCAUUCUUAAACUCACAAAUCUAUUUAUUUUAUUUCUUUGAUUGAGUGACGUAAUAUCAGUUAUUUGUUAGACUAAUUUGGUAAUUUUUUCCCUUUAUAUCAUUUGCACUAACGUUUCUUAGAGUGGACAAUGUGACACCAGGUAAAGCAAAAUAAACUAGAGUCAUUCUUAUUCUAAUAUCAAAUUAAAUUCUCUCGCCAAUUUGAAAUUGUUAUUGCUGUUGUACUCGAUGAAUUUUAUUCUUCAUUUUGCUUGUCCCUUUAAUUAAGGCUUACACUAUUUUGAGAAAAGUACACCAAAAAAAUAAUAAUCCUAAUCCUAUGAUAUUGCUACUAAUUUAGUUUUAAACCUUUUAAUUAGAUCAAUUACAUAUUAAUCAUUUUCACAUUAAUACCAAUUCAGUCUAUUCAAUCAAUUUUGGCCGGUUGAUGCUGAUGUGGACGAUGGCCGUCCAGCCAAUGUUAACAUGAUAAUUUUUAAUAAUUUUGUCCUUUUUCUUUUUGUUUUCCUUUUUUUUUCCUCUUCUUUCUCCUUGGAUUCCUUGCAAUGGCCGACGAGGGUCGCCUAGCCUUCGCUGCCUGUUGAUGAGGGUCAUGGCCGUCACCCAGGACUGUGAGCGAGGUGGCUUCAGCCAAAUCUAGUGGAGGCUAGGGCAAGGCUGGUAGCCUCGCUUGUGGCCCUGGGUAAGGCCGAGCGUGGUUCGUGAAGCUCUCAUCCAAUGGUUGACUAGCCGCUGGAGACUUGUCGCCAUUGCUGGAGAAGAAGGGCAAAGGAAAAAGAAAAGGAAAAGGGAAAAGAAAAAAGAAAAAGAAAAGAAAAGAAAAAAAUCAAUAAAAAAUUUCGAAAAAAUAAAAAAAUAUUUAAAAAUUGCCACAACAGUAUUCUUCGUCUACUCGGUAUCUAGUCAGUACCGACUGGCCAAAUUUGGUGGGAUGAACUAAAUUGAUACAAAUGUGAAAAUAUUUAUGAUUAAUUGGUCAAAUUAAAAGGUGUAGGACUGAAUUAGUACAAAUACCACAUGUUUAUGAAUUUUUUUUAGUGCUUUUACCAAUCAUUUCUAUCCCCUUACUAUUUCUUGACACUUUCUUCUACAUUGAAUUGAUUGCAUUAUCCUUAUGGAUCCCACUUUUGAUUUAAGAUUAUUUAUUGCCUAUGAUUUUGUUGGUUUUCUUUUGUUUCAAUUUUUCUAGUGACCGAACUACUCAUUUUCCCACGCCCUGCAAGAGCCGAUGGCAAAAGUCUGAGAGUGAGUGUAGAGUAAGAAUAGAGUAGGACUGACAAAAAAAAAAAAAAACUACUAAUUCUCCUCUCAAAUGGCAUUUAUUUAAGUGAGUUGUGGGGUCCACUCUUGGUUUUAAGAUUAUUGUUUGGCUUCUUUUCUUCUUUUCUUCUUUUUUCCCCCUUUUCUUUCUCCAUUUGUAAUAAAAUUUGGGUACCCCUUUUCCAAAUUUUAUUUGAUGGAUAGCUAAUUAAUUAUUCAACCUAAAAAAAAAAAUAAUUAUUGUGUUAAUGAAUUCAUAUAUUUCUUUUUUUUUUUACUAGAAAAGUAUCGUUUAAUUAUAACUUUAAUAUAUAUAUAUCAUUACAUUAUAAUCCGUGCAUUUUAACUAUACAACUAUAAUUUUAUUUGGUGAAUCUAAUUGUCAAGUUUUUAAUUAUUUAUCAUGUAAUGCAUUAAAUAAAAGCAUGAUCCUAAUCCGUUCUGUUUAUAGCAACAAACUUCAAAAUGAUGGUUAAUCAAAUAAGAUUUGGUCUUUCUUCUCCGACACAAUGUCAAUCACAAUAACUAUAUCCCUUAUCGCAAUAAAAAAGAACAUACUUUUCUCUUUUUGACAUUUCAAUAGAGACAAGAUAACUUAAAGCAAGAAGAUGUUUCCGUUCCGCACUAUACUCAAAAAAUUCUACUGCAUUAAAAAACUUGUUGACACAAUUGAUUACUAUUCUUCAUUCGUAGUUUCGUCAUCGAUAGAUGCAAUUAAGCAAAUUGUCUUCCACAUGCAUUACAAAAAAUAGUGCAAUGAGAGAUGAGUAAAUUGUGUAUAAUGCAUACAUUAACCAUAAUAUCAAAGUCGAAAAAUUCAUGAUUGUGAGGGAUAAUCUAGGGAAAUAAAAUAAAUAAUUUGUUAACAGAACUAACAUUUUUUUACUUCAAAAUAUAAUUAGUUAGGUUACAACAUUGGAGGAUAAGUUCAAAAGAAAACAAACAUGAAGGAAAUGUUAAAAUGUAAUGAGCGUGGAAGAAACAGCUAAGAUGAAAAAAAGAAGUUAUUUGAAAUAGAUGUGGGGCAGCUUUGUCUUUUAAUAAAUUUGAAACCGAAGAAAAAGAAGGAAAAAACACAGGACAUAAUCUUAAAUCAAAAUUACGACCUGUAGUAGAUAGUUUAGUCAAUCAAUGUGACAAGGAUGUCAAGCCAAUAAAGGGUGAAAACAGCAUGAGCCUUAGGCUCCAUUCAUUUUGCGGAAAAUAAUUUCCGAGAAAACAUUUUCCUGAUUUUUCGGCGUUUGUUUCACGGAAAAUGAAUUCCUUUGGAAAAAUGUUUUUCAUGAAAGAAAAAAAGUUUUCUAGAUUAGGAGAAAAUGUUUUCGACUUUUGAAAAGUGGAAAACAUUUUUCUCACUUGAUCUCUCUUAUCGUACACCUCUACAAAUUCUUACUUCCUCCUCCCAUUUCUUCAUUUUCUUUUCUUUUUUUAUUCAAAUUAUGUUUUAAUUUUUUCUUUGUUAAUUCGAAUUAUUUUUAAUUUCCUUUUUCUUUUUUUUUCUUUAAUUUUUCUUUAAUUUGUUUCCUAUCUUCUUCUUUCUUGGAUAAUUGUCGGCCGUUGCCAAGCGAACCUCAAGCUCGUCGAUCUCAAACUCGUGCUUUGCACUCUUAUUUAUCAUUUUCUUUAUUUACUCGACCUUGCAGUUGUACAUUACUCAAGCAAAUGGCUCUACAUGCUUUGCUUCUUUUUUCUUUUGUUUAUUAAAACACAAAAGAUAAAGGGGGAGAACAAGCCAUGGAAGAUUUUAUUAGGGCUGUACAUACUUUGCUUCUUUUCAUUUUUUCUUGUUUUUAAAAUCCACACAAACAGUUUUUAGAGUAGAUGAAUGUUUAGUGAUAAUGAGAGGACAAAUAUAUGAAGCAAGUUUACCUAGAUUUAAAGACAAGUUCAUAUUUGAUGGAUUUAUAGGUCGGUAAGUGAUGCAUGCCUAAGUGGUAAAGUCUUAGAAAAUAUUUUCCUUACCGAAUAUUGAAAAAUUUUUCCAAAACAUUUUCAGGUUGUAACCAAACACCAAAAAAUAUUGUCAUUUUCCUGAAAAAUGACUUAUGGAUUUUUUUUUUCCCGAAAAUGACCUAUUUUCUGCGAAACAAACGGACCCUUAAUUAAUUAAUACAUUCUUUAGGACACUCUUAUCACACAUCUUAAUUAAGCCUUUUCUAAAAUUUGGCAUUCCUUUCAAUCAUUAAAUUAACGUUAUCUUCAAUUAUCUUAUGUUUUCAAUUAACGAAAAUUUAAUUUUAUGUUUUGCAUUAAAAAAUUCUUGUCUUUUUAUCAAAUUUUUGUAUUCUUUUGUUUGGAAGAGUUUAUUUGAGUAAAUAUAUUAUUAGCAUCAUUCAUUUUGUUCGUACUUUUUUUUUCUAUCUCAUUUAAAAUGCUAUACUUGCCAUUUUACUUGAUGGAAAUGCUCUUUUUCGAUGAUGCGAUACGUCUGUGGCGUGUAUGCGAAAUCUCUCAUUCCCUUUCUUCCUCUUCUUCCUUUUCUUCUGUUUUUGCGUGUCUUGGCCUCUUAUAAACUGAAGGCGUCCACCGUUUGAUGUUUUGUUGACUUUUUAACUCUGUUUUUUUUCCUUGCUCGGUUAAACUCCAAAUGUUGCACUAAGUGCACAUCCAUCUAUUUCAAAAAUUUAAUCAAAUAAUUUAUAUUUGUGUGUUCUCGCUGCGUUGAUAUUUCUCUAUGCUUCAUUCGUUAUAAUUAUAUAUUUUUGUCUAAGUGUUUUUCAUUUGUUUAUGAUUAUCAUGAGAAAAAUAUCAAUUUUAUUCCUUUUCAUGUAGUUAUUUUUUAAUAUAUUUAGAGUUAAUACCCUGAAAAAUCCAAAAUUGAUAUACUUAAAUUUUACCUUAAAUUAAUUUUUUGACCACAAAAAAAUCUCAAACUGAUACAUUCGUGACAAAUUUACCAAAAACUAAUUUUUUAAUCACCAAAAACUCUAAAUGUAUAUUCUUGUGAUAAAUUUAUCCUCCAUUAGCUUUUGUCAAAUUUAAACGUUAAAUUUGCCGACAUAGAUGACACAUGGUGAUUUAGUAUGGUGACGUUGAAAGUCCACAUCGAAAUCCAUAGGGUAAAUAUCAUGAAAAAUCUCAAACUGAUACACUUGUGACAAAUUUAAUGAUACUCUCAUGAUAGAUUUAAUGGUACAACUAUGACAAUUUUGGGAUUUCUUGUGGCAUAAAUCCUAUGGAUUUUCAUGUAAACUUGCCAUGUCAUCACAACAUGCCACUAUGUCUCAUCCGCGUUAGCAAAUUUAACGAUAAAAUUUGAUGAAAGUUAUUAGAGGAUAAAUUUAUCACAGAUGUAUCAGUUUGAGGUUUUUGGUGGUGAAAAAAUUAGUUUUGGAUAAAUUUAUCACAAGUUUACUAGUUUGAGGUUUCUAGUGAUAAAAAAAAUUAGUUUGGAGGUAAAUCACCAGUUUGGAGGUUUUUUAGGGUAUUAACUCAUAUAUUUAGUUGUUAAUAUCAUCAAUAGUCAAAUAAUAAAUAUUCAAAUUGCAUUUCAAGAAGUGUUAAAUUAUGUCUCAAGUUUAAGACCGUGCGAGAAAUCUCAAGAAAUCUAUUUUCUUAUUGGGUUAGGAUUCAUCACACGAUGUGGUUUUUUAUUUUUUUUAUUUUUGGUGAAAAGAAAUUUUCAUUCAUUAGUAAAUUGAUACAUGAAAGGAAAUCUCAAAGGUCAUAGUAACAAAACAAACCCAUAGAUCUCCGAAAUAAACAAAAAACCAAAAAUCAAGGCGUUUCGUCAAAGCAUGAUUGAUAGAGAUUAUCACAAGCUUAUCCUUCAAGAACAAAUUUAUAACUGGAUUCAAGCAAAUUACCCAAUCACAUAACACCAUCAAUGAUAAGCACAUGUCGAGAUUUUCAUUUGUGCUUUGCCUUUUGGUGGUGUGGGCCUAAGUUUGGCAUCCCCAACACAAUUAUUAUACAAAGCAACAUAACUAUGUUAAAAAAUCUCAGAUCUGACAUCCGUGAGAGUGAGCCAUGUAGUUAAUGUGAAGUGUCAAAACUUUGAACCAGAACAAAUUUGACACUGAAGUUGCUAUGAACAUCAUUAAAAUUGGAAACGGAAUACUUAUUCAUUAAAACUCAAGAAUCUAUAAUUAGAUCAAAAAGAAAUGCUCUCAGUUAUAAGAUUGGGAGAGCAAAGUUUCCGGAUUUAAAACUUGAUUGGGAGAAUUAAGAAAGAAAUAAAAAGAAAUAAAAGGAAAAUGAACUAAGAGGGGAGGGAGAGAUCCAGGGCAAAUCCCUCCCCUCUAGAAGUGGAGGAGACGAAAAAAGGUUUAGAGAGAGAAUCGGGACCAUGUAGUUUGCUUGACUAUUUUCGGAUGAAGGGGCCACAAGGUAAUUGGCUUAUUCGAUUUUGGUCAAAGAAGAUGUGUGGUGGUUUGACUCCUAUUUGUAGCCACACGAGAGAGAGAGAGAGAGAGAGAGAGAGAGAGAGAGAGAGCCACUACAGGACAAAAUAAGGGCUCACAUGUUCUCUAAUUAUAUAUUUAUUUUGAGGGUGAAAAGGUUUCUGUCAGAGGAGACAAAACAUAGUAAUACAUAUAUAAAUAUAUGUAUUAUAUAUUUCUUUUUCUUGUACUCUUGCCUAUCUUGUCCUUUCCUCGUGAGGAAAGCCCGUCGGUUCUCGAAUAGAAUGCACACUUUGAGCCGCACGAGGGAACUCUCUAAAUAAGGAGCAUAAGACGCACAUGAAUUUUAUACCCAAAUUGUGUUGUGGACUUAUGUGUAAUCUAGGUAGACAAAAUACUGGAGUGCAUCGAUUGCAACUCUGAUUAUCUAAUUAUAAUGAAUUAUUUGUCAUUGGCUCCACUUGUAUAGUAGAAACCAAUCAUUGGAUCAAAUCAUAUAAAUCUAUAAUGUCUUUAAUUGUUCAUUGUUUAUUUUUUUGGUGAUUUCACGGUAAUUUGAAUGGCAUAAUCUUAUCAGUUUCUGCAUUAAUUUUACAAUGGAAAGUUUGGUGCCUAUAAAUUUGAAAGAGACUGCAUGAUCUUUAUACGCGCAAUGCACAUGACAUUUUACUAGUGAUUCAAGAGGGAUAAUUACCAAAAAUGUCUCAAACUUAUCAUUUGGAUGUUAAUUCAGUUAUAAAUUUUUAAUUUAACCAAUGUAAUCCUAAAUCUUUUAACAAUUUUGUUGUAGUCAUUCCGACCAAUUUUUGACCGAUAAUCAUUGACAUGGAUGAUUAAUAACUCUAUUUUAGAUAGAGUAUUUUUACUAAUUUAAGUUUGAUAUUUAUUAAGUUUUGAUGAAUUUUGGGUGAAUUUAUUUGCAACUCAUGUAAUUUUAUUGAAUUUUGUAGGAAACAUGACUUUUGGAUUUAUAAGAAACCAUGCGCAUCAUUUGUAGAAGACAUGAGGAUCGAUGCGUAAUUUUCCCAAGUCAGAGUUGGAUUUGUAGAGCAGUCCCCAAGCCUCAAUAUUUUCCAAAAUAUUUGAAUAUCUCUAAGGAUAUUUGAAUAUCUUUAAGGAUAUCUCUAUAUCUUUAAGAAUAUUUAAAUAUCUUCCAGAAUAUCUUAUCUUGAAGAAAAAGCGAGCCAAGACCAGUGUACUUGACCAUAAUUGAGGAUAGGUUCAAAGAAAAUUAAGGAUACGAAUCUUAAGAAGAAAAACUCCUAAUUUGUUGAGGAAUACUAUUCAAGACCUAAUGAGAGGUUGACUUAGGGUGGAUUUUUAGAAGCUAUAUAAACCCCUCUCAUGCCACAUAUUUUAGUUUCUAGGAGGAGCCUUGAAGCUGCCACUAGAUUUUAGGUUUUCUUAGUUAGUUUUUUAUACUUCUAUUUCAUUAGUGGAAUUUGUGCAUACGAAGGAGAGAAGGAGGAGGCAAACCCGAAUUUAUUUGCGACUCAAACUGGUGAAUUUGUUUCAAUUUAGCAUUAUUUUCUUUUUAAUUUUCAUUGCUAAUUAAUUUUAAUUAUGUUUUGUAUUUCUUUUGUUAGAGCUACAAUGGAUCUUAAUCAUGAUUGAUUGAUUUUCAAGACUUGUUCAUGCAAUAUAAAUGCUUUGAUUGUGGCGUUCUCUAUCAUGAUCUUAAUCCUUUUAGAAGUUUGGGCAACUUUUAAAUGAUUUUUUUUAUGUAUGCAUGAUACCGAGUGGAGAUGGCAUGCAUGAGCACUAGUGACAUCGAAUCAUAAAUUAAAUCUAGCUCAAGGUACACUAGAUUGUUUGUGUGGUUAUGGUGGUAGAUCUAGAUUGGGACUACUUGGAUUAAAUCCAAAAGUUUCCACAAGAAUUUAAUGUUUUUAGGUAGUUUAAAGUCACCUAAGGUUAGUGUGGGUUAACAUACCUUAUUGGGGAUUAUUAGAAUGAGGUUGGCUUGUAAUCUAACUUAGAGAAAUUUCACCAACACAAUUGGAAAUUAAUUUAUUGCAUGACAAAUUGAGAGAAUUGAUUAUGAGUGGUUAAAUGAAGUUGGAUGUUCUAUCACUUUCUAAUCUUGGUUAAAAUCUUGAAAUUUGCCUUGUUAAUUUUCAUUUUACUUUAGAUUAGGUUGAUGUUGCAAUUUUAAUUAGCUUUCAAAUUCUUUAAGUUUUGACUCUUCUAUAAUUAGUCUUUUAAUUGGUUUAAUUCACUUUUUACUUUUUUUUUAAAGCUAAAUCUUUGGAUUGAUCACUUUCGAUAAGUAAACCAUGCUCACUCAUCACUUUGUUACUUGUAGACAUUGUCCACUUACAAUUCACCUAACAAGUUUUUGGCGCCAUUGCCGGGGAUCGAUUUCCAAUUACUAUUGAUAUCGAGAGCGAUUCUUGGUUUAGACAAGCCUUUAUUUUUUUUAAAAAAUUUAUUUCUUUCGUAGGUCAAACUCAACUCUCUAUAAAGGUGGGAGGAGCAUUGCAUCACCCGAAGCCAACAAAUAGAACUUCAAAAGUUUAAUUCCAAGAUUGAAAGAACCUUUUUUAGGAGAAGAAGAAAGCAAGCACAAGUAAGUCUCAUUACAAUGGCUGAAAAUCAAGAAGACGCACCUAGAUGACUUUGAAAAAUAAUGCAACACCAACAAUAAAAAAAAAAAAAAGCAAACAUAUCAAGUUUUACAUUCAAAGUUUUAUUGGUGCCAAUUUCAUGAAAUCCUCAAGGCUUCCGAGCUUGGUAUCUUUCAAUUGGCCAUUGGUAGCUAUUGGUUGCCAUCUCCUCAAGUAGAUUAAAAGCUUCUUCAGCUGACUUGUUUUACAAAGUGCCUCUAGCUGCCACAUUUAGACUAGCUCGAAUGGCGGGAUGUGCUCCAUUAUAAAAUGUGUGCAUUUGCAUCUAAACUAGUAGUCCAUGGUACAUGCAUUUUCUUAGCAGCUCCUUAAACCUCUCCUGUGCUUCAAAAAAGGACUCACCAUCUAUAUGCAUAAAUGUAGUAAUAUUGUUAUACAUUUUGGUAAAUUUAAAGGAGGAAAAUACUUAGGAAUUUUUGAGCCAAGUCUUGCCAAGUGGUAAUAAAACCUCUAAGAAGAGAGGUCAACCAAGUCUUAAAUUUAUCACAAAGAAAAAAUGGGAAGAGUUAUAACUUAAGGGCAUCAUCAGGAAUGCCAUUGAAUUUAAUAGUGUCACAAUUUCAAGGAAUGCUUCUAAGUGUAAAUUUAGAUCAUCAUUAGGUGAUCCACUAAAUUGCCUUGCAUUUUUAAGCAUUUGAAUUAAGGAUGGAUUGAUCUCAAAAUUAUUAGCUUGCAUUGCCGGCCUCCUUAGACUAAAUUGUGCUUCUUGAAUUUUAGUGUUGCAUAAUCUUUCAAAGUCCUCCUUGGAGGCGUGUCUUGUUGAUUUUUAGCCAUUGCAAUGAGGAUUGCUUGUGCUUGCUUUUUUCUUCUCCUAAAAAGGUUCUUUCAAUAGCGGGAUCAAACUCUUCAAGGUCUCCUUGGCUUCGGGUGAUGUGAUGCUCAUCCCACCUUUUAUAGAGAGGUGACUUUGGCAUACAAAAGAAAUAAAUUAAAAACAAAAGAAAGGCAAGUCAAAAUCAAGAAUAGCUCGAUAUCAAUAGUAAUUGGAAAAUUAUCAAAUAAAUCCCUGGCGAUGGCACCAAAAACUUGUCAAGUAAAUUACAAGCACACAAUAUCUACAAGUAAUAAAGUGAUGAGUGAGUAUCGUUCCCACUUGGAUUGUAUUUAAUUAUCCAAUUACUUACCGAAGGUGAUCAAUCCAAAAAUUUAGCUAACCAAGUCAAAAAGGCAAGUAAAAAGUGAACUAAAUCAAUUAAAGGACCAAAAUAUUAAAUAGACAAAACUUAAAGGAUUCAAAAGCUAAUUAAAAUUGCAAAAUAAACCUAAUCUAAAACAAACUAAAAAUCAACAAGGCAAGUUUCAAGAUUUUAACAAAGAUUACAAAGCAUUAGAGCAUCCAACUUCACUUAACUAAUCAUAAUUAAUUUUCUUAACUUGUCCUGCAAUAAAUUAAUUUCCAAUUGUGUUAAUGAAAUUUCCCUAAAUUAGAUUACAAGCCAACCUUAGUCUAACAAUCCCUGAUUAGGUAUGUUAAUCCACACUAGACUUAGGUGAAUUUAAACUAUCUAAAAGCAUUAAGUUCUUUUGGAAAUUCAUGGAUUUAAUAUAAGUAGUCUCGACCUAGAUUUACUACCGCAGCCACACAAACAAUUUAGUGUACCUUGACUUAGAUUUAAUUUAUAGUUCCAUGUUACUAGUGCUCAUGCACGCAAUCUCCACCUGAUAUCAUGCAUACAUCAAAAAUCAUUUAAACGUUAGCCAAAAUUCUAAAAGUAUUAAGAUCAUAAUAGACAACGCCACAAUCAAAAUAAUUAUAUUGCAUGAACAAGUCUUCAAAAUUAAUCAAUCAAUCAUGGUUAAGAUCCAUUGUAGCUCUAACCAAAGAAAUUUAGAAAUAAUUAAAGCUAAACUAAAAACAAAAACUAAAAACUAAAAAGAAAAUGCUAAAUUAAAACAAAUUCACCAAUUUGAGUCACAAAUGGAUUCGGGUUCGCCUCCUCCUUCUCUUGCAAAAAUUCUACUAAUGAAAUAGAAGUAUAAAAGCUAGCUAAGAAAACCUGAAAUUUGGUGGCGACUCCAGGGCUCCUUCAGAAAACUAAAAUAUGCGGCACAAGAGGAUUUUAUAUUGCCUCAAAAAUUUGCCCUAGGUCAGCCUCCCAUUAGGUCUUGAAUAGAACUCCUCAACAAAUCAAGAGUUUUCCUUCUUAAGAUUCAUAUCCUUGAACCUAUUCUUAGUUGUGGUCAAAUACACUGGUCUUGGAUGGCUUUUUUUUUUUUUUUUUUUCAAGAUAAGAUAGUCUUGGGAAGAUAUUGAAAUAUCCUUAGAGAUAUUUAAAUAUUCUCAAAGAUAUACAGAUAUUUAAAUAUUCUAGAAGAUAUUUAAAUAUUCUCAAAGAUAUUUAAAUAUUCUCAAAGAUAUAUAGAUAUCCUUAAAGAUAUUGAAAUAUCGUUAGAGAUAUUCAAAUAUCCUGGAAUAUAUUGAGGUGUAGGGACUGCUCUACAAAUUUAGCACAGACUUGGGAAAAUUACGCAUUGGUCCUCGCAUCUUCUACAAAUGAUAUGCAUGUUCCAUUAUAAAUCUGAAAGUUGUGUUUCUUACAAAAUUCAAUAAAAUUACAUGAGUAGCAAAUAAAUUCACUCAAAAUUCAUCAAAACUUAGUAAAUAUAAAACUUAAAUUAGUAAAAAUACUAUCUAAAAUAGAGUUGUCAAUGAAGACCGUUUUACAUGAUAUAUUCAGGAUUGACAUAGAUUUUUUUUUUUUUUGCUUUUUUUAUUUAUGAUUUUUAAAUAAUUUUUUAAUUUUAUUCUUUUUCUCUUCCAUCAUUGAUUGCCAUGGCCAGUAAUCAGACAUAGGUGAGGGCCAAUGAGGGCAAGUCUCCCCCAAGGCCCAUGAGGCCAGGUCGUCAUUGAGGCUUGACAAUUGGCGAGCAAGAAGAAAUAACAAAAGAAAGAAAAAGGAAAAAGGAAAAAAUAAAAAAAAAAUGCAAAAGUCGACCACAUCAGUGUUGAUUAUGCCACGGAGGAUAGUCAACACUAACAUUAGCGAUUGCCAACCAAAAUUGGCUGGAAGAACUAUAUUAACAAAUUGUUGAAAGAUUUAGGACUAAACUGAUCAAAUUGAAAUACUUAGAAAUAAAUUGGCAUCCAUAUAAUAAAUUUAUGACUAUUUUUUGGAAGUUUGUAUUGAUUAUGGCUCGAAGUUAGUUCUCACUAUUUUGAAAUUCAACCCAUGAAUUGGAAGUAAUCAUGGGCGAUAUUAAGGAAAGCCCAAAUUGGACUCUUGUCAACAAGAUCAUGAGGAAUGCAAAAAAAUGAAAAUUAAAUUCUCAUUUCUCAUUGAAGAUGAACUCUAUGUUGAUGUCAAAAAAGAGCUCAUAGUUUCUCACAUAAAUAUUUUGUUGUUGAAUUUGAUCUAGUGUACAUAGUUUGUGCACUUAACAUGUAUAAAACUUGCAAGAGACGCCGAGUGCGUUGUGAGCCAUAAUCCAAGAGAUUCAAGAGUAUAAGAAAAUUUCUUUCUUGCAAUUGAUUUUAGUGGGUUUUAGUUUAAUUUAGGAUUAGAAAACACUAAUGAGUGAGGGUGAUCAAGUACUUGUCAUAUUAUUUUCCUCUAUUGUAGUGAAAUCAUUUCAUCAAACUCUCCUAUAGGAGUAUGCUCACAUUUAGACCACAUAAAUCCAUUUCUUUUAAUUCUAUUUAUGCAAUUUAUAUUUUACUUAUGGUAUGCGGAUUUCACGGAAAACUUCUUGAUGAAAGAAAACACUUUCGUAAAAAUCAUUUUCUAAGAAAAUGAUUGGUCUUUAGUUGUUUGGUGGUAUUCUUAAAAGUGAGACAUAAAAAGUUUUCCAAUGGUUAAAUCUUACUUUCUUUUCCACAUUGAAGAUAAAGUCCACGUUGACCUAGAGAAUGGCUCAUAAUUUGUUGCAUAUAAAUAUUCCUUUGUCAAGUUUGGCACGGUGUGCAUAGUCAUUACGUUUAGCAUGUGUGCACCUUGUGAGGUACGGAGGCUUCAUUUGGUUGUCCAAAUUUCUAAUCAUGAUAGAAUUAAAUAGGCUAUUUUGCUAUAUUCUAUCAACUAUUUGGUGAUUGCAAUAAUAAAAUCGGAUAUAUUUACAUAAUUGAUUUAUGGGAUUUUUGAUUUAUUUUAGGAUCGAAAAACACAAAUGAGUGAGUUCGAUCGAGCGUUUAUAAUCUUAUCUUCAUCUCUUAUAGUGAAAUCAUUUUGUCAAUCUCUCCCAUAAAAGGAUAUACGCUGUUGAAUCACGUAUAUCUGUUAUUUUCAGAUUUUAUUUUUGCAGUUUAUUUCUUGUUCAAAUCGUUGCAUUUGUUUACGGUUCCAGGACAACCGUAACAAUUUGGUCCAUCAAACCAGUUUUAUGAAAGUGGAUGACAUGGUACAAGACACAUUUACAUCGACAUCUUAGAGAAGCGUAGCGUAGUACCUUGUUCUAGAUACAGUGAACAUAUUUUCCGAAAGCAUAGGAGCUCAUGUGCACCAAAAUGUACGGUAAGUGACUCAAAAGUCCUUUUGAUCAUCCCUAAAGAAAGAAAACAACCCCUCGUGGAAACAUCAGGAAAAAAAAAAGAGACUAUGCCCAUUUAAAUGUACAGAAAGUUGACUCAUUCGCGAGAAACCACGACCACCUGUUUCCCAACAUUGCGACCGGAGAACACCCCGACAAGAGCUGCCGGACUGUUCUCGAGCCCUUCCACGAUGUCUUCCACGGGGACAAUCUUCCCCUCUUUGAUCUGAGGCAAUACCAUCUCCAGGAACUUCGGGUAGAGAUGAUAGUAAUCGGACUCCACGAAACCUUCCAUUCGAACCCGCUUCAGGACUAGGUUUAUCAAGUUGUGUAUGCCUUCGUGCCGCUCGAGGUUGUACUGUGAGACCAUCCCGCAUACCGUGAUUCGGCCAUGAAAUUUCAUGUUGAGCAGCACCGCAUCAAGCAUCUUUCCACCGAAAUUCUCAAAGUAUAUAUCGAUUCCCUUGGGGAAGCAUCUAAACAUUAAAGACAGAAAAAAAGUCAACUCGAGUUGGCUUCGGAAUGGGUACAUACUUAAUUUCCUGUACAUCAGUCAUUUGCUCAAUUAUCGUUACUAUAUUCCUGGUUCACCUUUUCAGUGCUGCAUCCAGAUCCAGCUCCUCCUUGAAGUUAAAAGCAUCAUCGAAUCCAAACUUGUUCUUCAGCAAAUCUACCUUUUUCCCAAACAUAACAAUAAGCGAGAAGUAAAGAAAAAAUCGGGAAGAGACCAUUAAGCAAUUACUUUUCAAGGAAACACUAGACAAAUGUGUGAUGAUUACCCUUUCUUUGCUGCCGGUGCUGCCAACAACAUAACAACCAAACAACUUUGCAAACUGGCCAACAAGCUGACCAACAGCUCCGGAUGCCACUGAUAUGAAAACAUUAUCUCCUUUCUUAGGAGAGCAUACCUCGAAAAACCCGGCAUAAGCCGUCAAGCCUGGCAUACCUGGAAAGUUUAGAUCUAUAUAAAUUAGAUGAGUUUCAAGAUUUGCUGAAGCAUAGGAGGAGUGCAAUUCUAUGGCGAAAUCUCAAACGAUCCGAUUUAACUGACUGAUGUGAUGCCCUGACAAUUGGAUGAGAAAUAAUCAAUUUACACACUUCUUUCAGCACGAAAGACAGCUCUGCAGGGCUCUAUUGUUGAGACAAUUCAACGUGGGAAUACAGCUCAUUGACAAGGAAGAUCCCCACAACUAAAAUUUAAAGGAAGCAAACUUUUUCCUUGCAUAACUGGAGGCUGUCCGUACUUGAGAAUGAAAUAGACAGAACAAAGUAUCUCAACAAAUCGAUUCCCCUCAUUCUUUAACACUGAAAAAGAUAUCGCACCAGAUGAUUAAAGGGUAUACCCAGAAGGCCGGUGUAGUAAGACAGAGGAACAUCAGUGUGUUCGAUCUUAAAGCAAGUCUCCGGUGCAGUAAUUAGAGUAUACUCCUCCCAUCUAGUCAUGCCCCAAACUAAGUCGCCUUUCUUGAAGUUUGGAUGCCCAGAUUCCAAAACUCUAGCUACUCCAUAUCCAGGAACAGGCUGCAUCAUUGUGUUGAAUACUUCAGAAUAUAAUUGCAACUACAUUUAGCAAACACGAAUAGACCUUGAGCUUACAAGAAGGAAGGAAUAUGUUUCCUUUGAAUUUUACUUGAGGAUUGUAAUUGUCACAAAUUUGACUUUGACUUAUGCAUGCGAGUUGGAAACUUACCGUUGGCAUCAUGAGUAUAGUGAAUGUAACGAGAGAGAUGGCAAUACUUACGGAGCCGAGCCGAGUGAAGUACUUAAUGAGGUGUAAAUUGUAGGGUUCGCAAGCCAGGUACAAAUUCUUCACCGCGAUGGUCCCAGAGUCCUUGUCGGCCUUCGGUCUCUCCAAACUCGUCUUCACUUUCAAGUUGGUCUCUUUCAGGGAACCUCGUACCUUCUCUCUGUAAAUCACCUGUCUGUUGCUCAUCACUUCCACCGAAGCAUUAUUGCCGUCCUUCUCCAUUCUCUCUCUAGAGCAGUGUUGUCACCCUCUCUCUCUCUCUCUCUCUCUCUCUCUUCUUGGAUUUUUUUCUUUUUCGGUCGAAAUGUCUUCUUGGAUUUGGUUGGUGAGAAACAUGGCCAAACAGUGCACGUGUACUUAUAGGGGAGAUGGGUGACGAGAUAUGCUUACGUAUGCCUACGUAUGCCAUUGUGUCAUCGGUGGAAUAGUAUACUCCUUGGGGAAAAGAAAAGUGGGUCAAAGUGGCCGAUUGAAUUCUAAUCAUUAUAAAAUUCCCUGAUUUGCAGCAAAGCUUAAAGGAAUCUUUUAAGUCGUUGUACGGAAAUCGAAGAGAAAUCUGAAAGGGUUGUGCUAGUGUCGCCAGUAGCCACGAAGUUUCCUUUGUCCAGCAUAAGCGUGGAAAUUUUCAAACUAGUUGACCAUCCAUUUUCCAAAUUGAUAGGAUGAUUAGCCAAGCAUUUUCCAAUCUAAAAAUCUUAUAAUUUUUAAGUAAGCUCUGCAGAUCGCCAGUUUUCCUUUUCCACACAUUUUUGAUCUCCUCGACUUGAUUCAAGCGCUAUAACGUGUGUAUGCAGUGGGGUGGUGAAAAAUCGUGAUAAUUGAUUUUAAAAACAAAUGAUGAAUGGAUGAGCCUGAUUGCAUCGGCCUAAAAGUUUUGAUCUAGACUUAUAUAAAUUGAUUGUGUCUCAAUGGACCUAUCUAGACCUUGUUGGAGAAAUCUUCGUGAAGUGUUUUGAAGUUGACAAAACGUUUCCAUCAGUCUAGUCUGAAGGUCUGCAGACUCUGUUAGUUAAAGUCUGAAGACUUCCGGACAGCCAGACUCAAGACUCAAAGUCUAUCCUCAUUGACAGUCUCUAAUCCGUUGAAGAAAGGUUAUCCAGAACUGGAUGUUUUGUUCAGGAUUUAACCUUAUCAUCUGGAGAAGAUCUCGUGGUUGGAGAAGACGUAUCAGAAUCCUUUGAUUGAUCAAGAUUGAUUCAAUGACUGAAGAUUCGAUGAUUGUCUAAAUAUUAUUAGAAGGUUCUACUUAUGGAAACCGAGAUCCUGAUUGUAUGAGCGAACAGGAUUGAUGGGCUAUCAACACGUUCCUUUAAUAGCUCGAACAAUCUUCCUAAUUGAUUCCGUCCAACGGGUAGAUUGGAGGAAUUCCUUUGGUAAGUGCCAACGGGUAUGAUGGCAUAAAGGAGUAUAUAAGGAAGACGUUCUUAGUUGUUCGAGGGGUGCGCGAUAGAAGAAUUCCAAAGUCUGAAGCUCCUAUUUGUUUAGAUAAAUCCUUUGAGCGAAUACUUGUAUACAAAAGAGAGUCUAUAUUUGUGAGAGACCUUGAGGAGGUGUGGUAAAACAUCUACACUGUGGAAUCAAGGCAAAGCUGUGCUGUAACUUCUCUUUUGAUCAUAGUGAAAUCCAGCCGGUGAGCUGUCAGUGCGGAAGAGUGGACGUAGGCUUGAAUAAGCCGAACCAUUAUAAAUCCUGUGUUCAAUUUUCUCUUCCUCACUCUCUCUACCUCAAUCGUAUUUCAUUUUGUUAAUUAAGAGAGAAUUUACUUUCUAUCAUAUGUUAAGAAUCGCUUCCGUAUAUCGAUAAAUUGUUUAGGCACCUAUUCACCCCCUCUAGGUACUCAUACUAGCAAUAUCAAUUGGUAUCAGAGCCUGUGUACUUACUUUAUUUGAAGUGUUUUACUUCAUAGUAAAAGAUCCAUGGCUAGUAUGCUAGCACCAGGGCUGAUGGAAGGGCAAAGCAAUACCAGAUCACCCUACUUUGAUGGAAAGGAUUACAACAUCUGGAAGAACAAGAUGAAAGCUUUCCUACGAUCAAAGGAUCCUCUGGAAUGGGACGUUGUAGAAAAAGGAAUUACUCCUACCACUGCAUCAGUCUCUGAAAGAGGAAAAGAAACUGAAGAAACCAGCGGAAUGUCUCAGGAAGAAAUAAUCAAGAGACAGACACUCGAUGCAAAAGCAAUUUACUCCUUAUAUUGUGCUUUAUCACCAACUGAAUAUAAUAGAAUAUCUUAUUGUGGUACAGCAAAAGAAGUUUGGGACAUAUUGCAUAUCACCUAUGAAGGAACAGAUCGAGUGAAGGAAACAAGAAUCAACAUUCUUCUCGGUCAAUACGAAGCCUUCAGAAUGAAACCAGGAGAAUCAAUAUCUGACAUGUUUAGUCGUUUUACAGAUAUUGUGAAUGGUCUUGAAAAUCAAGGUCAACCAACUUCUGAUCCCAUGAAGGUAAACAAGCUACUGCGUGGACUCUCCAGGGAUUGGAAUCACAUAAAGACUUCGAUAAGAGAGACGCAGAGAAUCAUGCCACUAUCUGUCGACGAGCUGAUGGGAACUCUUCAGUCCUAUGAAGUGGAAAGGAUCAAUGAAGAUGAAGAUCCAAAAGGUAAGAAAUCCAUUGCAUUAAAAUCAAAUGAUGAUUCUGAUGAUACAGAUUCUGAAGAUGAUAUGGACGAUGAGGAGCUUGCUCUCAUGAUAAGAAGAUUCAGAAAACUAAAUAGAAAAGGAAGAAGGUUCAACUCAAAGAAACAAAGCUUUCAAAGACAGCAGACCAAGUCUGUUGAUGAUGAGGAACCAAAUAAAGAUGUAGUCUGCUUUGAAUGCAAGAAAAAGGGACACAUCAGACCCAACUGUCCUCUUCUGAAGAAGAAGAGAGGAAAAGCUGAAAAAUUUCGAAAAGCUCUCAAAGCCGAAACCUGGAGUGAUACUGAUUGUGAAGAAAGUGAUAAUGAAUAUGCCAAUCUAUGUCUGAUGGCACAAUCAGACUCAGACUCUGGAUCAGACUGAGGAUCAGACUCAGACAGUGAAUUUGAGGCAAGUGAUUUUAAAAUUCCUGUCAAAGUUUCUAAAUAUAUUGAUGAACUAUGCUUUAGUCUUAAGACUUCUCUCAAAAGAAUUUCCGAACUGAAAAAAGAAAACUCAGCUCUAAAACAAAAGGAAAAUGUUUUAGCAGAAAAAGUUAAAAGUCUAGACUUGUCUGUUUCCAAUCUUAAAGAAAAUGAAGAUAAUCUUUUAAAAGAAAAUGCUUUUUUAAAAACAGACUUAUCAAAUAUAUCAAAGAAAUUUUCUAUAGGGUCUGAAAAACUUGAGAAAAUUCUUUCAGCACAAAGACCUUACUUCAAUAAGUCUGGUCUAGGUAUGACAGAAGAUACAAUUCCCUUGAUUGAUUUUCCUAAAGUAAAAGAAAGAAUUAAGAAAAGACUCUCGAGUGAGGUUUACAAAAAUCACUUCAAGAAAGUUUUUGUAAAACCUGUAGGUAGAAAUGCUCUCAGAUGUUCUAAGUGCAACAGUCCAGAUCACUUUGAAAAAGAGUGUCCUAUGGUAUGGAAACCUGUUAAGAAAGUAUGGGCUAAUACUGUUUAUCCUACUAACACCAAAGGACCCAAGAAAAUUUGGGUACCAAAGAAAGCUUGAGACUUUAUUUUAAAUGCAGGUCUCCGUCAAGAAACAGGUAAAGUGGUAUUUUGACAGUGGAUGCUCAAGACACAUGACAGGAGACUCAAAUUGCUUUAUAAAGAUUGCUCAAGUAAAUGGUGGAAAAGUUUCAUUUGGAGGAAACAGCAAAGGAAGUAUUGUGGGAUUUGGAACCGUGAAAAUUGGAACUCUCACAAUAAGUAAUGUUUCCUUAGUGGAAGGACUCAAUUACAAUCUUCUCAGCAUUAGUCAAUUGUGUGAUACUGGUUUCAAGAUCUUCUUUCAAGAAGGAACAUGUUCUGGAAUCAAUAAAGACUCUACUCAGUCUUUCAUGGGUCGAAGACAUGGAAAUAUCUAUCUUCUGGAUGUGAAACCAAAUGAAUCGAAAUGCCUUAUCUCAAUUCAAGACGAAGCAAGCUUAUGGCACAAAAAGCUUGGUCAUGUCAACAUGAAGCAAUUAGCCAAAAUCUCUUCAAAACAGCUUGUUCGAGGACUACCCAGAUUGCCAUACCAAAAGACUGAUUCAUGCACUCCAUGUAUUAUGGGAAAACAGGUAAGAAAUUCAUUUAAGCAAUAAAUCAUGUCUCUACUAAUCAUGUACUACAGUUGCUGCAUAUGGAUCUCUUCGGACCAACCAGAACACAGAGUAUUGGAGGUAAGAAAUAUUGCCUAGUAAUUGUGGACGAUUACUCCCGUUUUACUUGGGUAUAUUUCCUUGCAAGUAAGUCUGAAACCUUCUCGUAUUUUGAAAAGUUUGCUAAAAAGGUUCAAAAUGAAAAAGGAUGUGUUAUCUCUUGUAUAAGAACAGAUCAUGGAGGUGAAUUUGAAAAUCAAGAUUUUACAAAAUUUUGUGAUGAAUCUGGCUUUAAUCAUGUGUUCUCCUCUCCAUAUACUCCUCAGCAAAAUGGAGUUGUGGAAAGAAAGAACAGAUCUCUUCAGGAAAUGGCUAGAACUCUUUUAAUAGAAAGCAAGAUUUCUUCAUGAUUUUGGGCUGAAGCUGUUUCAACAGCAUGCUAUAUCAUCAAUAGAGUCUUCUUAAGAUCUAUUCUUCAGAAAACCCCUUAUGAGUUAUUCAAAGAAAAGAAGCCUAUUGUUUCAUACUUUCAUGUAUUUGGUUGUAAAUGUUUUAUAUUGAAAAAUGCAAAAGAUCGAGUUGGUAAGUUUGAAGAAAGAUCAGAUGAAGGUAUCUUCUUUGGAUAUUCUACAUCAAGCAAAGCUUACAGAGUCUAUAACAAGAAGAGUCAGUCUGUGGAGGAGUCAAUGAAUGUCAAAUUUCAAGACUCAACGUAAGAUGAACCAAGUCAGACUCAUCAAGAAGAGUCUGAACCUGCCCCAGACCCUCCAAAGUCUACAACUCAAGAAGCAUCUCAGACUCUGGAAAACCAGCAUUAGGUUGUUAGUGAAGAUCCAAAUAAAGAAAGAGAUCAUCAACCAGACAAAUCAACAAGUAACUGGAAGCAUAAGUCCAGUCAUCCCAAAGAUCUUAUAAUUGGCGAAAUUAAUGAAGGAAUUCGCACCAUAUCCAAAAGGCGAGAAGAGUCUAGUGCUGUGGCACUCGUUUCUGAAAUUGAACUAAAGAGCAUAGAAGAAGCUUUAUCUGAUGAAAGCCGGAUUGAAGCUAUGCAAGAAGAGCUCAGACAGUUCAGCAUUAAUGAUGUCUGGGAAUUGACAUCCAAACCAAAAGGUAAAACUGUUAUUGGAGCUAAAUGGGUGUUCAGAAACAAGAUGAACGAGAAAGGAAAAGUCGUACGAAAUAAAGCAAGACUCGUGGCCAAGGGAUAUACGCAAGAAGAAGGAAUAGACUAUGAUGAGACUUACGCUCCAGUGGCAAGGUUAGAAGCUAUUCGACUAUUACUUGUGUUUGCUUGUUAUAAGAAUUUCAGGUUAUUCUAAAUGGACGUCAAAAGCGCAUUCCUAAAUGGAUUUAUCCAUGAGGAAGUUUAUGUGGAACAACCACCAAGGUUUGAAGACCCAAAGAAGCUAGACUCAGUCUUUAGACUGAAAAAGGCUUUGUAUGGUUUAAAGCAAGCACCUCGGGCUUGGUACGACAGAUUAAGUAAGUUUCUAAUACAAAAUGGUUUUGUCAAAGGUAAAGUAGAUACGACUUUAUUUAUCAAGAAGGAAAACAAAAGUUUCUUACUUGUUCAAAUAUAUGUGGAUGAUAUUAUUUUUGGAUCCUCUAAUGAAAGUCUGUGCAAGAAAUUUUCAAAGUCUAUGCAGGAUGAGUUUGAAAUGAGUAUGAUGGGAGAGUUAACAUUCUUUCUUGGUCUUCAAGUAAAACAAUUGAAGGAAGGAACUUUUAUUUAUCAAGAAAAAUAUGUUAAUGAUCUUGUCAAAAGGUUUGGACUGGAAAAGUGCAAAAAGACCGACAUACCAAUGUCAAGUUCUUUAAAGAUAGACAAAGAUGAAGAAGGGAAGAAAGUUGAUCAAAAGCUGUACAGGAGCAUUAUUGGAUCACUUCUUUAUCUUACUGCUUCUAGAUCUGACAUUUUGUUGAGUGUUUGCAUCUGUGCAAGGUUUCAAUCAGAUCCUAGAGAAUCCCAUCUUAGUGCUGCGAAACGCAUCAUUAAAUACGUGGCUUCAUCAUUAAGCAUCGGUCUUUGGUAUCCUAAGAAGGGAGACUUUAAUCUUCUGGGAUAUUCAGACGCAGAUCUGGCCGGUUGCAGAGUUGAUAGAAAGAGCACUUCAGGAACUUGCCAGUUGCUUGGAAGCAGGACAGUGUCUUGGUUUUCAAGGAAACAAAGCACUGUGUCUCUUUCAACAACAGAAGCAGAGUAUGUAGCUCUUGGAAGCUGCUGUUCGCAAAUUCUAUGGAUAAAACAACAGCUAAGAGAUUUUGAAAUUGAAGACUCAUGCACAGAGAUUAAUUGCGACAACACCAGCGCUAUCAACCUCACCAAAAAUCCAAUUCUCCACUCAAGAGCAAAGCAUAUAGAGAUUCGACAUCACUUUAUUAGAGAUCAUGUUCAAAAUGGAGAUGUUUCAAUUCAAUUUGUUGACUCAAAGAAUCAACUGGCUGAUAUACUCACAAAGCCUUUGGAGAAAAAUCAAUUUGAGUCUAUACGGUCCAGACUCAACAUUUUGAGGUAUGAGGAUAUCAAAGUCUAAAGACUUUCAGACUCAGGCUUACAAGACUUUAUCUACAGUCUUGGCUCGACCUUCAGACUGUAAGUCUUUCUCUCUCCAAUCUUAUCUUGAAAAGGUACGAUCAUCAUACUGUGUUUAAAUUGUUGCUAUAUUUAAUUAACGUAAAUAUUGCAUCGAUUCAUUUUCAAAAGGGAAGUUAUUUUUGAAAUAGCUAUUUUUGCGAAUAAAGACAGUUAUUUUGAAAAGGCAUAUUUUUAUUUCCUUUGUGACGGUUCGUUUACUUUUCUUUUUAACCGAUUGUGCACUGUCGAUUCCUCUUCACUUUUCUAUUCACUUUUCUCUCAAAAAAACCCUAGAAAGCAUCGAUCCUCCAUUCCCGUUUGUCUUCUUCGCUCAAUCUUCAAAAAGUUGUCAUCUUUUCUGGGAAAGUCAAGCAAGGAAUCUUCCAAACACUGAGAAAGAUGUCAUCUUCACGAAAGUCCUCAAGAAUCGCAAGCAGGGGACCACAGAGAAUGAGUGAGGGGCCUACGCACUUCGAUCUUACUGAAGAUGAAGUUACUCCAGAUCAGCAACCGAGCCCACAACAUUCUCAGCAGUGUCAUUCUCCACCAUCUAGUCCUCAAGGCGUUGUUCAUCAGCAUCAGGAAGAAAUCAUCGAGGAUGCAGACCCCGUAAGAUUUCAAAAGCCCGCUUUUAUUUACAAGCUAUAUCGUGCCUUAAAAGGAAUUCGUACUCCUUUGAACUAUGUUGAUGAGUUUCUUAGAGACAAAGGAUAUAAGAACGAGUAUAUCUUUCUGCGAAAAAUGGAAAGUUUGGGAAUCGCUCGUAAAGGGGUGGCUGAGGAAACCCUUGCGAAUAUCCCAAGUGAUCCUCGUGACUGGGGACCGAAUCCUGUAGAUGGGAAUGACGAUGACAAUCUGUUCAGUCUAUUUCAACCGAAAAUGGGUAUUGCGGCUGAAAUUCAAGGAAAAAGGGGAGAUUUGUUCAGAUCAAAGGAACAAAAGGAUCUGUACUCGAAAUUGCUGAAGCGUGGGAUAAUAAACCCUAGGAGUGUGGACUUUGAUUUUCUGGAUGCUGUGAAAGUGAACUUAAGGGAAAAGUUCAGUUAUCUUCAACUUGAAAAGUUCUGCUCUGACUCAACUGAGGCUUAUGCUGAAUUGACUGCAUAUUUCUAUUCAAAUCUUAGCUUUUUGGAUGCGAAUAGAUUCUCCUUUAGCGUUAAAGAACAAGACUAUGUUGUGGAUAUGAAUAUGCUGGCAGAUGUGUUAGAAGUUGAGAGAGGCAGAUAUCAACCAAUCAAAGUUUCCAUUGCUCGGGCCACACUUGAACUGGUGAAGGACAGGAGAACAGAUGAGAAGAUCACCUACUCACGGAUGAAUGCAUUCAACAUAUUGCUUCACAAGAUUGUGAUUAAUUGCCUUCGGCCGAAAUCAACUUCCAAAACUGAUGUUUCAAGCUCUGAGGCAAAGUUGAUGUAUGCCAUCCUCUGUGGAAAGAAGUUUUCUCUCCCUCAUACUGUUAUGUUUCACAUGUAUAGAGCAGUGAUGAAGGACAGAGGUCAACUCCCUUACCCAAGCCUUGUUACGAAGUUAUUCAGACAUCUGAAUAUUCAGCCUCCGCAAAUCUUUUGUGUUCGAUCAUGCGAUCAUAUGGUGGUAGGACUGAAAAUGGUGACCAAAAUGCGUCUGAAGGAACUGAGCAAGGAAUUGGAGAAAUUCAAGGAGAAGACUCCUGCCAAAUCUCAUCAACUCUCUUCUGCUGCUAAGAGAAAAGGGAAGGAGCCCAUGGCUGCUCCAUCAAAGAGAAGAAGAGCUCUCCUCGUUGAGGAUGAAGAUGAUGACGAAGACAUCACCAUCUCUGCAAUGGCUUUGAAGAAUUUAAGUCGUCCUGUUCCACAGAAAGAAUCGGAACAAAAGACGAAAGAAGCAGAGGAGAAGGAAGAAGAAGAAAGAGAAGCAGAGGAGAAGGAAGAAGAAGAAAGAGAAGCAGAGCAAGAAGCAGAGGAAGAAAGACCUGAAGAAGAAAGAAGAGAAGAAGGAGAACUUGAGGAAAUCUCUUCUCCACCUGUAGGCAUGGAAACAGGGGGAGAUCGGGAGAAAUGAGUGACGUCUUCAUAUCCUGAUGCAAGUGAAGGAGUCAGUCGCUCGCCUGCAGACCCAGAAGAUGUUUAUGCAUCUCAAUUUCCAGAGGAAGGUCAUGAAGUGUCAUCGCCAAAUCUGCAAGAUUAUGCAGAUCUACCAUCUUCUUUUACUCCAUCAGAUCGAGCCGAAGCAAGUACUCAGACUGAUAAUGGAGCAGAUUUUCGCAGAAUCAUGGAUAUUCUCUUGGAAAUGCGAGGUCAAAUUUAUGCCUUGGGAUGCGAAGUUCAAAGUUUGAAGAAUGAAAGUCAAGCUUCUUCCUGUUCAUUGAAUGAUAAGAUGCAAGCCCUCUCUAUUCAGAAUCAGGCCAAUGCCAAGAGUGAGGAGGUUGUACAGCUGAAGGAAGACUUUAAAAGGCUGGAAGGCAUCGUUCAGUCUAUGGAAGAUUUCCAGCUUGUCCGCAUUCCCAAGACUUCAUCUCAUCCUUUUUAAUGAUGACAAAAAGGGGGAGAGAUGCAUGAUUUGAUCAAAAACUUUCAAUCAUUUUUUAACUGUUUGUUGGAUUGUGUUGUUGUUUAACUGUUUUUGACAGACUUUGACUUUGUUUUGUGUCUGGAUGAGAACUGAACUAGACUUGGACUUGACUGCUUCUAUUAACAAGUAUUGAUAUCUUAUGAAUGGUUUUAUUAUAUACUAGACUAACCUAUUUUCUAUGGUUGCAGAUUCUAGUGUUAAUCUUUUAGCCAUUCAUCUCUAUAAGAUAUGCAUAUGUGUUUGAGAAAUGUUUUGCAGGUCAAAGUUAUCCAAAUCUGCAGGAAGGUUUUGUCACCAUCAAAAAGGGGGAGAUUGUUGGAGAAAUCUUCGUGAAGUGUUUUGAAGUUGACAAAACGUUUCCAUCAGUCUAGUCUGAAGGUCUGCAGACUCUGUUAGUUAAAGUCUGAAGACUUCCGGACAGCCAGACUCAAGACUCAAAGUCUAUCCUCAUUGACAGUCUCUAAUCCGUUGAAGAAAGGUUAUUCAGAACUGGAUGUUUUGUUCAGGAUUUAACCUUAUCAUCUGGAGAAGAUCUCGUGGUUGGAGAAGACGUAUCAGAAUCCUUUGAUUGAUCAAGAUUGAUUCAAUGACUGAAGAUUCGAUGAUUGUCUAAAUAUUAUUGGAAGGUUCUACUUAUGGAAACCGAAAUCCUGAUUGUAUGGGCGAACAGGAUUGAUGGGCUAUCAAUACGUUCCUUUAAUAGCUCGAACAAUCUUCCUAAUUGAUUCCGUCCAACGGGUAGAUUGGAGGAAUUCCUUUGGUAAGUGCCAACGGGUAUGAUGGCAUAAAGGAGUAUAUAAGGAAGACGUUCUUAGUUGUUCGAGGUGUGCAUGAUAGAAGAAUUCCAAAGUCUGAAGCUCCUAUUUGUUUAGAUAAAUCCUUUGAGCGAAUACUUGUAUACAAAAGAGAGUCUAUAUUUGUGAGAGACCUUGAGGAGGUGUGGUAGAACAUCUACACUGUGGAAUCAAGGCAAAGCUGUGCUGUAACUUCUCUUUUGAUCAUAGUGAAAUCCAGCCGGUGGGCUGUCAGUGCGGAAGAGUGGACGUAGGCUUGAAUAAGCCGAACCACUAUAAAUCCUGUGUUCAAUUUUCUCUUCCUCACUCUCUCCACCUCAAUCGUAUUUCAUUUUGUUAAUUAAGAGAGAAUUUACUUUCUAUCAUAUGUUAAGAAUCGCUUCCGUAUAUCGAUAAAUUGUUUAGGCACCUAUUCACCCCCCUCUAGGUACUCAUACUAGCAAUAUCAGACCUAACCGAGCCAAACUCUUAAAGGACUUGACUAGACUUACCCAUUUUUCGGUUGAGGCCAGUACCGUACAUGAUCACUUCUACAACAAAGCGUGAUGGGCAAUCUUUUUUUUCUAGUCCAACUUGGGCAUCUACCUCUUUUGAUACUCAUUCAACAUUUCGAGAUGUCGUGCCAUGAAUGUUUCUAUACUUUUGGACUGCUCACAUAUGAUGACGGAGGCUUGCUUCGCAUCCGUUGCCUCUAUAUAAUUUGCUGUAUUCUAAUAACUUAAGAAAAAAAAAUGCUUAUCGUCUCGUUUCUUUGAUUGGACUGAUGUAAUUCUUUACUUAGUUGUAGCUCCGCAUUUGGAUGGUUGACUUUUGAUACCAAGUAAAGCGAAAUCUAUAUAUGUUCCACCAUUCUUGAACUCACAAAUCUAUUUAUUUUUAUUUCUUUCAUUGAGUGACGUAAUAUCAGUUAUUUGUUAGACUAAUUUGGUAAUUUUAUCCCUUUAUAUCAUUUGCCCUAACCAAAUAGACCGUAGCCUUUCUUAUUCUAUUUUCAAAUUCAAUUCUCUCUUCAAUUUGAAAAUGUAAUGCCGCUGCACUCGGUGAGUAUUAAUUCUUCAUUUUGCUUCUCCCUUUAAUAAAUUGAUAUGUUCUUCUGGUUAUUCUUAUCGCACUUCUUAAUAAAUUCUAUUUGAAUAUUUGGCAUACCUUUCAGCUAUCUAUUUCCACUAUCUUCAACUGUUUUACGUUUUCAAUUAACGAAAAUCUAUUUUUUUUUUUUGCAUGAAAAAAUUCUUGUCUUUUUACCAACUUUUUAUAUUCUUUUGUUUGGAAGAGUUUAUUUGAGUAAAUAUAAUAUUAGCUACUUCCACAUUUAAAAGUAGAAAAUUAUUGUCUAAUUCAUUUUUUCUUUUUCAUGCUUAUGUCAUUUGAAGUGUUUUUUUUAUAUUAUAAUUCAUUUUCUUCGUCAGUGACAUGCACGCGAAAUCCCUUUUUUCCUUUCUUCUUUUUUCUUUUCUUUCACUUUUCUGUUCUGUUUUUGCGUCUUGGCCUCUUAUAAACUGAAAGCGUCCACCGUUUGCUGUUUUGUUGACUUUUUAACUCUGUUUUUGUUUUUCCCCGGACUUGGUUAAACUCCAAAUGUUACAGUAAGAGCACAUCCGUCUAUUUCAAAAAUUUAAUCAAAUACUUUAGAUUUGUGUGUUUUCACUGUGUUGAUCUUUUUGUGUGUUAUAUUUGUAAUUAUUAUAUAUAUUUUUCUAAUGAGUGUUUCUCAUUUGUGUAUGGUUAUCACGGGAAAAAUAUCAAUUUCAUUCCUUAUUCAUAUAGUUCUUUUUAAAAAUUGAAUAUAUUUAGUUGUUGAUACCAUUCAAAGUGAAGCAACAAAUAUUCAAAUCAUGCUUAAGAAAAUAUUAAGUUAUAUUUUGAGUUUGAGUUUGUGUGAGAAAUUUCAAGAAAUCCAUUUUCUCACUGGGAUUUGGAUUCAUCACACGACAUAGUUUUCUCGACUGGUGUCCGACGAAGCGGCCACAAGGUUAUUAACUUAUUUGGUUUUGGUCAAAGGAGAUGUAUGGCUGUUUUACUCCUAUACAUAACCGCACAAGAGGGAGAGUCAUUAUAGGAUAAAAUAAGGGCUCACAAAUUCUCCAAGGAAAAAUUAUCAAAAAAAUCCUAAACCUAUUGCAAUUGUGUCAAUUCAGUUCUAAACUUUUUUUUUUGACCAAUUGAGUCAUAAACCUUUUACAAUUAUAUUUGAUUAGGCCAUCUGACCAAAAUUGGUUGGCCGGCGCUGAUGUGACAGCCGACCGGUGCUGAUGUGAUAGCCAACCAGCGCCAAUGUCCCGAUUAUAAAGCCAAAUCGUUAUGACACGUCUUAUACCAUGUCACACAAUUUCGUCCCAUAAUUAGGCAUAGACAAUUCAUAUUGUUGGUUCCAUCCACACCCGAUAUUCACUCUCAAUAUUCAAAUUUCCAAUCCAACCUCAACAUUUUCACUCAAUAAUUCGACUCAAUACUCAAUACUGGACUCAAGGUUCUAGAUGUGCCCUCUCCUCAUGAAAUUCUGACAUCGUGUGGCACUUAGUCCUUGACCACAUCCGUCAUAGUAUGAAAUACUAGAGGUGGUUCCCAUGAAUUUACACUGUCGUGUAGCACUUAGUUCUCGACUAUACUAAACAAUAGCUCAAAGUACUAGAGGUGGCUCCCACGAUUUCACAUAGUCGUGCAGCACUUAGUCUUGACUAUAAAAAAAAACACUAGUACAAUGUUCUAAAGGCAAUUCACACGAAAUCUUGCUAUCGUAUAGCAUUUAGUUUUUGACUAUGCAUGACAGUACUGCAAGGCUUCUAGAGGUGGCUCCCAUGUGACACAAUUCACCUUGUAGCACUUAGACCUUGACAACAAUAAGCAACUGUACAAGGUAUUAGAGGUGGCUCACAUGAAUUCUCAUUAUUGUGUAGCACUUAGUUCUUUAUCGGCUCACAACCCAAUAGGUUCCCUGAAUACAACACAUGUGUGGCAUCCCAAAAUUCAAGUCACCCUCUAGAGGAAUUAAAGCCAAUAAUUAGGUAAUGAAAUUACCUAUGGUUUAUGUUUUGGCUAUUAGUUUUCUUUUAAGGCUAUGUGUUAUGUGCUUGUGAUCAUGAGUUUUUAAAUAAGUAUUAUGGAAUAAAUUUAUGAGGAUGAUUUAUUCUUUGGCCAUGUGAAUUUUAAAAUUUAAAAUCUAUAAAAGAAAUAAUUAAAGAUAAAUAAUUGAAAGUGAAAUUUUGGGUUUAAUUAGGUUGGGCCUUAGGCCCAUUGGCCUAAGCUUUAGUGGGCCAAGCUAGUCGGCCCAAUUAGGCCCGCGGAUGGGGCUGCUGUCGCCGGCCCAUUGAGGCCCAAGGAGGUGUGGCCGUCGGCCACAAGGGAGGCCCAAGCCCAAGCCCAUGCAUGUGUUGUGAUAAGUGGCAAGAGGGAUGGCAUGCAUUGGCCAAUUGGGGAGGCAAGCUAAUGAUGAGGUUUAGGGGAAAUAAAAGGGAAGAAGAUGAGAGAGAGUGGCUGGUUGAUUCGGCCAAGAGAGAAAGGGAGAGAGAGAGAGAGAACCGUGCGAGAGAGAGGGAAAGAGUGUGGCCGAGAGGGAGAGGAAGGAGUCGCCGCCUGCUCGCCGCCGUGAGCCGCCCGUUCGCCGCCGUGUGCCGCCGUUCAUUCGGUCUAGAGGCAAGUUGGAAAUCCACUUUCUACUCUUGAUCCAAUGUCUUGCAUGUAUGGUCGGAAUCUAGAAUAUUUGGAGGCAUGGGAGUGAAGCUAAUGUGUUUUGUUCUUGAGUUGCAUGCUGUUUUCGCAUGAACCGUUUGAGUCAGAACUUUGUGAGAGCUUGAAUGCAUGUUUUGAGUUCGAUUUUGACUUUGAUCUCUUCAUGAAAGUUGUAGCUAACAUCUUAAAAUACAACAUACUAAAAUUUGGUGUAGAAUGAUGGAGAUUUAAGGGGUAAAACUCUCAUCCUACGGAGAUGCUAGAUCUGGAAUGUUUUCGCAUGAACCGUUUGAAUCAGAACUUUGUGAGAGCUUGCAUGCAUGUUUUUAGUUCGAUUUUGACAUUGAUCUCUUCAUGAAAGUUGUAGCUAACAUCUAAAAAUACAACAUAAUAAAAUUUGGUGUAAAAUUAUGGAGAUUUAAUGGGUCAAACUCUCAUCCUACGGAGAUGCUAGAUCUGGAAUGUUUUCGCAUGAACCGUUUGAGUCAGAACUUUGUGAGAGCUUGCAUGCAUGUUUUGAGUUCGAUUUUGACUUUGAUCUCUUCAUUAAAGUUGUAGAUAACAUCUUAAAAUACAACAUAAUAAAAUUUGGUGUAAAAUGAUGGAUAUUUGAGGGGUCAAACACUCAUCCUACGGAGACACCAGAUCUGGAACGAUUUCACUGACCUUUCGGUGGAUUUGUGGUUGCAUGCUGAUUUCUACUAAGAAUCUCUUUUCAACUUCUACAUGAAACUUGUAUAGAACAUCUUGAAUUUUAACAUACUCAAAUUUUAAGCAAAAUGAACAAGUGUAGCCUAGUGAAUCAACUUACUCUUAAAAACCGUAGAUCUGGAGACGCGGUACAGGUUACCCGAGACUUCAUGGACCCAUAUGGAGACUUUCCUUUGGAAAUAUGACUUAGAUCUCUUCAUGAAAGUUGUAGGGGACGUUUUGAAGUAAAACCUAUCCAAAUUUCAGAGGAAAAUAAGAAUGGUAAGUGGGUAAAAACUCAGUAUUUCGGAGAACCAUGCACUGGACGUCUCGGUAUUAGAUUCAGAAGCUUCGUGUGACUGUAGAAAAUAAUCUAAAAAGAAUUUAGCUUUGAAGUCUUCAUGAAAAAUCUACCUUAGUGUCUUGGAUAUAACCUGGUAAAAUUUCAUAAUUUUCGGAGGUCAUUUGGAUAUUUUAAUCAAAUUAUUUCGGAAACUGUGCAUUCUGUUUUUAUCCGAAAUUACAUGCUGUAUUUUUGUGAAUUUAUAAUUUUGUGUGGAAAUUGAUUGGCCUUGUGUUUUUCAUGAAAUUAUUACCCUAUUGUCUUGUCCAUCACUAGCCUUAAUUUCAUGAUUUUUGGGAACCAUGUGGAUAUUUAAUUUAAAUAUUUUCAAAAUAAUACAAGCUGGAAUUUAAAUAAUUUUUUUUAAAAAAAGGAGAGGGCAUGAUAAUGGACUAUUUUAAAUUGUAUGAAUUCCAUGAAUUUUAUCUUUAUGGAUGAUUGUACCUUGAUGCAUGUGUGAUAGGAUGAAAGUGAUUUUAUUUGCCAUUGCAUCUAGUGCCAUGCUAAGUGAGACCUAAAUUGGUAAAUGUGGACAAUGAUAAAUGAGGAAACUAUUAUGGCGGAUGAUAAUGCCCUAGGAGUAUUAGGAUGCCCGGGACGGGGGGUGCCAGAUGCUCGGAAUGUAUAGAGAUACAUGGCCGGAUGGCCCUGGGAGUGUCAGGAUGCCCGGAAUGGUUGGGUGCCGGAAGCCUCGGAGGUCUUUGCCCGAGGGGAUGCCUCGUGAUGCCAGUUGGGAUGCGAGAUGCCCAAAAUGUGGGGGUGCCGGAUGCCCGGUGGCCUUGAGUGGCUGAAUGCCAGAGGUUUUUUUUUUCUCGCGAUGCCAGGAUGGGGUGCGAGUGUAAAAUAUGGGAUGAAAUUGAUGAUCCCGAGAAAGAAUGAUGUGGUGAUCAAAUUGAAAGUUAAAAGUGGAAAUUGAAUCAUGCAUACAUGACAUGAUAUGAUGAUGAUCACCUAUGACAUGAUGUUAUGCAUGUAUAAUAAGAUAUGAUGAUGAUCACCUAUGGCAUGAUGAUGAUGUAUAAUAUGAUAUGAUGAUGAUCACUUUUGGCAUGAUGAUAUGCAUGUAUGAUAUGACAUGAUGAUGAUCACCUAUGGCAUGAUGAUGUGCAUAUAUGAUAGGAUGAUGUCAUGAUGGUAGUGAUAUAUGAUAUGAUAGGAUGAUGCAUGAUGAUGAUGAUAUGUAUAAUAUGAUGAUGCAUGAUAGUAUGGGCAUGGCUUCAAGGUAAGUAAACCCCUGCAAUGCAUGUAUGACUUGUAUUGCAUGUUGCAAUGAGUGGUUAUUGGAUUCCUUUACCUGCUGAGUGGUUGUACUCACCCAUUCUGGGACCAACAUUUCAGAUUAGCAGCAUGCCGCUCCAUACUGUCACGCGGGGUGUAUUUUACGGCCUACCUUCGGAUGUAGAGGUCCAGUGCGAGGAGUUUGACUGUCCUUCUAUUCCUGGUCUUACGUAUAUCCGAGUGCGUUGUUUAGUUAUGUACGAUGUGAGCUUGGCUGGGGGCCCUGUUGUCCAGGAGUUCAUAUCCGUGCAUAUUCGACGCAAUGGAGCGAUGCGUGGGAUGUUGCCGCCGCCACCGCCUGAUGCACCGGGAUGGGUGUGAGGGCCCGUGCGUGUUAAGUAGGAGCUGAAACUUUUUGGGAUGGUUAGCCGACACUAGCGAUGGGGGAUCUUACACGUGAGUUGUAGUGGGUCGAGUAUUUCUUUUUGGAUUUUAGGCCGAGUAUGGUUGAGUCAUGGCCUUUCUUUUGAUGUACCGACCCAAGGAAACCCAUCUUGAAAAUAUGUAAAUAAAGUGUCGUGGCUUUGUCUUUUAUUAUGAUGUUUAGUGGUGUGCAAUUGUAUCAUGGUUAUUGAAGGGAGAGAUGGCGAUGUUAUAUUUUGCUUCCGCUAAUGAGUCGCGCUGGGACUGUUUAAAAAAAAAGAAAGUGUCCAUGAUUUUACAACGCUUCUUAUAAGAGAUUAUAAUUAGGUGUAAUGUCAGGUGCCUGUGGCGACCCUAGGUGGUUCGGGGUGUCACAACAUGUCACCUCAAUUUUCAAUAGUCAUCUUGCAUUGACUAUAAACCAUCACACGAUUAAUCAAUCACGGCCAAGGCCAUUGUGCUUUGCGUACUAAUUCCUCAAUUAAAUUAUGAACUUGGCCUAUUUCCAUUGUGUUAAAAAUACCCGAUAAAAAUAAUCGUGUGUGGGUAUACGGUUGGCCUGAGCAAAAAAUGCAAUAUCUACCUUUUUAAAAAUCCCACUAUUUAAUAUAAUAUCUAAAAAAAAAAUUGGUGUAAAAAACCGACGCCCCGGUAUUUUCUGAUUAAAUACUAAAAUUAUACAAUUUUAGGAUAAAUACGCAAAAUUACAAAUUCCACUCGAUUUGCACAAAUUAGCACUCAAUUAAAUAAACCAAACACACCAUUGCAAUCAACACGAAAUUUCGGUCACCGACUAUUCCGGUAUAAUUUUCGGAAAGUAAUAAAUAAUUAAAUAAAUACUAAAAUAAAUAAAUAAAUGCAAUUAAUUACCAAAAAUAGCAACUUAGGUCGGAAAUGCCUAAUUAAAUACCGAAACAGGCCCGGAAAAUUUCUGAACCAAUCUAGAUAAAUAGCACGAUAUAUCUAGUCCCUAAUUAAGCUAUUCUAACCACCUAACAUACACAAACGAAUAAUUAAAUCGCUAAUCCGUGAUAACUAACCACCCAAACCUUAAUUAGCCUAAUCUAAACACUAAUUAAAUGUCAUUAACUCCCUAAGCAGAGUUUAGUGAGUAAACUCACCAGUUUUGUGAUCCGGUGAGUCCACGACGACGGCGAUGUGGAGACAAGCGAUAAACCUCAUAGCAGCGACACUAAACGGGGAUGGGACAAGCCUGAAAACGGGCCUUGAAGUCUACGAACCCUUGCUAGCUUCGGUUAUGUACGGCAAAGCUUGCUGGCCGAGGCUGCUGGUGGUGUCGCCAAGGAGUUUUAGUGGUCUCGGUGAGGUGGUGAGCUGGUGAAGAGUUGAGCCUUGGGGCGGUGGACGUGUGGGUUGAGUUGUGGCUGUUGGGUUCGCAGGAACGCUGGAGUUGGGCAGUGGCAUCACUGGAAUGGAGCUGCUACGUGGGUUGCUGCAGGCAUUGGACUCGAUGGAGAUGCAAGGGGCUGCUUUGGUGGAGAGGUGCAAGGGAGUUGGUGGCUUGGCAGAGGCGGAGGGAAGUUCGAUGGGUUGACUGCAACGCCUGGGAUGGUGGACUGACGAUGGUGGAGCAGCGAGCGAGGGAAUCGGUGAAGAUGGGAGCUGGCUUGCAAGUCAACUUUGGGCUUUGUUGGAGGGGGUUCUUCGCGGACGUGGCAGCAGACGGAAGGUCGGUGGAGAUAGGGCGGUGAUUUUGGUUGAGGGAUAGAGAAUAGUGUCGCCGACCGUCGCCGGUCGCCGGCGGGCGGUGACUGCAGGGUUUGAAGGGAGGAGCUGCUUUGGUGAAGGAACAAAUGAAAGAAAGCAAAAGACAGAGGGGUCAGGGGAAGUUGCACAUGAAUAAGAAGAGGGAUCAGCUAAGGCGUGCUCAAGAAGUUGGAGAAAAGGGGGGCCAAAGUCAAUGUAAAUAUCUCAUAUUCAUCACUUCUUGGUUCCACAAGCUUCCAUACAUAUCUCUUUUGUCCCCCCAAGCCUUUAUGCACAUAAAAUUCCACAAAUAACUAAGUUGAGGUCCAAUUGUUGCAGCUCUCGUAUUAGCUUACGAAUUUCACAAUUUUGGACUUAAAUUUCUUCACAAAUUCUCCAAUUUGAUGUCCAAUUUUGUUGAAGAAGAAGCCCACACAAUUUUCACAGUUUCCCUUCACUAAAUAGCUCAUUUUGGAGGCUAAAAAAUCCCUUUUAUUUGGCCCACCCGAAUUUCCUUUCAUUUUCCGAGUUGUUCGAAUUGAUUUUCCGUAAAAAUCCCAAGCUCGCCGAAAAUUUCUCGAAUGAUGAGUUGACGCUCCUAAAAUAAAUCGUGACAUGACAGAACUUUCAAUUUCUGAAAUCGGGUUCAAAUUCGUGGUUAAUUUCAAUCUGACGUAAUUUUAGUGUGACCUAACCUAUUGGUAACUUUUAGAAACUUCUAAUGCAAUUGACCCAUGGUCAAUUAUUUUCGAACCACAUUGUACAUUUUCGACACAUUGACAACUCUCAGUUGUCGUGAAAAUCUUGAGAUUUCAAAUAUGGACAUAGGGUACCAAAACGACAGAAAAAUCGUUCUAAUGUCGAUUGACAAGAAUUUUGUAAUUAGGUGGAAUCACCCACAUCUAAUCACACACCUCUAUCGAAUCAACCUAUCUCUGGUCUCGGAUCAAUUUUUAAUUAUGUCGUAGUGACCCUUGCAGAUUAGCACGGUCGAGCAGUCGAUUUAUGGUUGAAUUCUCAAGUCCAUUGUGUUUAUAUUCCUUAACGGCUUCACCUAAUAGGCUAGUUAUCUCGUGAGUGGCCAACUCAAAGAAAAUAACUAUAGGCGCAUCGAUGAAAAGCCCAACUUAUUCAAUCGAAAUCAGAACUUAAAAUUCAGGAUGUCACACUAAUAACAAAGGGAAAUCAUGCUUUCAAUUCUUAUCAUAAUUAUAUACAUUGGGUGAUGGACUACAUAGCAAAAGGAAAAACCUAAACUAGGAGGAAUCAAAAAGGAACUCAUCUCCCAAGCACCACUUCUAGCAGACGCUCUCACAAUUUUCCAUCAGUCCACGCCACUCAAUCACACAAUUCUACGCCCAAAAAGUUAUGACUAUGCAAAAUCAAAAGCAUUCCCCUUUCACACUACACCAUCUCCAGCUUCUACGACUCCCUAUCGUCUCCAUCAUCACCAUUAUGGUCAUCUAGGUAUGGAAUCAGUCCUUUGAGGUUCCUAUCUACCAAAAUAUAGAUGGUGACGAAAUGAUACGAUGUAAGACUCUCUAGCACACUUAUGUCCACCUUAAGAACCAUCAUGCAUCUCACAAAAACCACACCCGGAAUAGCUAGAUCCAUAAACCCAUACAAAUCACUCGUAAAAUCUAUUGGUUGCACCAUUACCAGAGGUGGAAGACAGUUGUUGAGGAAAUUUCCCUAAAUGAUUUUGAGGAUAAAAAAAAAACAUUUCCAUAAGUGUUUAAUGAUUCUGAUAAUGAUUUUUUCCAUGUGGAAACUCUGAUAUUUAUCAUCAAAUGUUACUUAUUAGACUCAGAGACUUAUCAAGAUGUUUUGGUUAUCUAUGAUGAAGAUUAUGUCAUGUCAUGAUAAUCAAGGACAACGGUGUAAUUUGUAUGAGGAUUGUCAAGACAAUACACAUCAUUAGAUGUUACGAGAAAUCUUAGAUCUUCACAGUUAGUUUAGAUCAUGUGAAGUGCAAUGGCUAGUAAUAUGGCUUGGAUUUUUUGCUAUAUUUAUUGAUUGUCCAUGAGGUAUGAAUAUCCACAUAAUCCUUCCUUGUUGGAGAUUUAUAAUCCAUGAGACAAUCAUUGAACACAAGGUGCACUUUCCAAAUGGAGUAAUCAACUUAUGGAAACCUUAUCUCUAUUGUAUGGGUAGCAAAAUCAAGGGAGACUCUAUUUUAGCAACCUAGAAGCAAUCGGAUUAUCCUGAAUCAUUUAGGUUUAACGGAUGCAUUGGAUGAAGAUCCUCAUAAUUUAUGUCCAACGGUCAUUUUGGACAUUAAAGAGUAUAAAAAGAGAUUAUGAUGUUGAAGGGAAUAAGAGAUCGGUAGUCUACAAAUUCCAAAGUUGAAAGAGAGUUUCAUCUUUACACUCGUCUUCAUGAGCUUAACUUGUAAUCUCUUAGAGGUUGUUUUCAGAGUGUGAGAUCGAAAGAUUGGAUCACACUUGAGUUGGAAGUACUUGAUUGUUGUAACCUCUAAUGGAUUCAUUAGUGAAAUCUAGCUGGUAAGUUGUCACCAUAAGAAAGUGUACAUAGGCUUAUCAAAAGUUGAACCAUUAUAAUUGUUAUGUGUAAUUUUCUCUUUCCUUUAAUCUCUUGUUUUUUAUUUAUUUAUUUAUUGCACAUAGUAAAAGUCUAAUUAGCACAUAGUUCUUCACCGGACACUGUAGAAGAUAUGAUCAUUGCAAAGUUUUUCAUCAAACUUUGUUAUUUUGUGAUAUUGAACUUGGUUUUUUUUUAAAAUUCCUCUUUAAUUGCUUACAAUCACCUAUUUACCUCAUGCUAGGUGAUAGGGCUAGCCAUUAUAAUAGGAGUCAGAGGCAUGGCCAAAGAUCUCUAAAAACAAUAGAAGUGAGCUAACACUCAACAAGAGAAAUAGAUAUCUCAUAAUUGAAUCCUUCCAAUCAACACUCAAUUCCUAGGACACUUCUAGCAUCAUAACAAUUAGCACACGAGAAUGAGCACACAUCACACAUUAGAUGCAAUAUCCUUGGUCAUGUGCAUAAUGAUCACACAUAUUUAAUGCAUCAUACACUUCAUUCUAAGUUACACCACUUUAUUUGGGUCCACCCCUAUCUUAUGGUUCAACCGGGAUUGCUAGUUGGCCUGUGCAAGUCACUACUGAUUUAAUGUUCGGAAUUCUGUGGUUUGCUAGUUGCAGGCGUUUCGCUACUAUCACCCAGAGUAUCUUGAUUUGCUACCCAAGACAUUCUCCUUUGGCAUCCAAUCCUAGCCAUAGCCGAGUUCUUAGUUUGUUAGCCAAGACUUCCACGGUUCUCUUUAACUGCAGGCAUUCUUGCUACAACCCAGGGCAUCCAAGGUUUGCAAGCCUUGGACAUCACGAAAUAGCAAAUUUUCUCAAGCACCACAGGCAUAUCAUACACAUGCAAUGACAUUAGAAUCAUAUGCUAUGAAUCACAUCCCAUUUAGCACACCUUUCACUAGGAAAGAUACUAUGUCAUCGCAAACAAUUUAAUGCCUCAUUAGUACACCCAAGCUAUUUACAAAUCAUAAAUUCAAGAAUAGGUGCUCAUGCAAUCAUCUCAAUUUUACAAACAAAUGGCAUUUAAAUUGAAGUCAAACCUAUACCGUGAGAUAGCCUAAUGAGUAUGAUUGCUAUCUCCAGUAGAGCACAAGCCAAGAUUCAAUCACCUCCGAACAUAAAUUCGUGAUUUACCAAAAAUGGGCAAAACAAAAUAGUUUUGAAUAAUCUUCGAAAUCAAAGUCAUUACUUUAUCAAAUGAACAUGAAAAAUUUUAAAAAUUUAAUAUGUUGUAAAAAAGAUCUUAAAUAACAUUUUUCAUGAAGGAACUAAGUGCAAAAAAUUUUGUAUCAAGAGUAGUAAUUCACACAAAAUAAAGAAGAAUCUGGUUCACUAGAAUAGAGCAACUAAGCUACAAGAUAUACUCAUCUCACAGCAGAAAACGUGUCAAAACAUUUUGAAAUUUGGAUAUGUUAUAACUAAAGAUGUCUUAUACAAUUUUUAUGAAGGAAGCAAGUCCAAAAUCAAUAGAGAAAAUGUUUCUAAAAUUCAAGAAAACAAUCGGGUCACUGUUCCUACUGCACUGGGCAGAUUAGACACGGUAAAUGAUUAGGCUUGUAUAUCAAUUAACCUUAAAAAAAUCUAAAAUUAAAGUAUGUUGUAAAUCAAGAUGUCUUGCACAACUUUCAUGAGAAAGUCUCAUCAAACUCGAACCACAGCAAGCUCCACCAAAUUAAUAAGUAGAUAAGAUCCAGCAAUUCUAGUUCUAGAAAUCCAAACUACAGCACAUGAACAAGUACAAAACUUGCACCACACGAAUUCAUUGCUUAAAAACAAAUCAAAACCUAAAGUCCCAAGUCACAUGCAACAUCCAUCUUCAAUUAUAGUCAACAAACUCUUUCAUAAGGGCCAAAUAAGCACAUGAAACUCACAUGCAAGACCAUAUAAGCCACCAAAUGCACAUUUUCUACAUCUACUCAAGCCAACAAGGACAUGCAAGUAAGAAGCAACACAAAACAGCUCAUAUUCUAGCAAACAUUGAGCCUCAAAAGGAUCGAGAAGAGUAAAAGAGAGCCACUUCUCCAUGCUUUGCUUCCCUUGAGCUCUAGACCUUCCUUCCUUGAAGAAGACUUGGAAUUCUUGAAGGAAAAUGCAAGAAAUGGAAGAGAAUGAGAGAAUGAUGUUCAAUGAGGGAGAGGGAGAGAGAGCUCACACGAGAAAGAGAGUGAGUGAGUAAAAUGAAAUAAGAGACGGAGGGGGAGAGAGAGAAAGGUCAAUUGAAUAAGGUGGAGAAGAGAAGUGUUUUCCCCAACACACUUCUUUGCAUGAAUCCUAAUUGGAUCAAGGAGAGGCGGCUUAAUCAUUAGGCUAAAUUCAGCCUAUUUUGCAAUUUAAAUUCAAUUGCAAGCAUUUCUAUUGGGCAAUAGGGGUGAAAAACAUAAUUAUUGUUUUUAAUUUCAUGCAAAAUAAGAAUAGGGUGGGCCACAUAUAUAAAUGCAUAUUAAAAGUCUAAUUAUGUCCUAAGGUACAACCUUAAGCAUAUACAAAAACCGUACAAGGCAUAGGUCACAUGCCUUCGUCCCUAAUUUGCUUAUUGAAUUGAUUGUUGAAAAUUUAAAUCCCUACAUGACUUACUAAUAGGGCUAGGUGGAAAUUGGGGAUGUCACAUAGUAGAUAUAAAUGUUAUCUUUGACAAAGUGAUUUGGUGAAAAUGUUUGCUGGUUGUUCCACUAUUCCAAUUCCUCUUGUCACAAGUAUCCUUUCUUGGAUCCUUUCUCAAGUGAAGUGACAAUCAAAUUUUAUGUACUUAGUUCUUUCAUGAAAGACUUGGAUUUGCUACCAAUUUAAGUGUAAUAUCAUUAUUACAAAAUAACUUGGUUGAUCCAUUGACUUUUACUUUGAGGUCCAAGAGUAAACCUUGUAUCAAAACUAUUUUGCAAAUGUUCACCCUGACUCGAUACUCUGAUUCUAUGAACGAUAAUGAUCGACUAUUUCUUUGUCUUCCCUGAAAUAAAUUAUUUUUCUAUUUUGAUACAAAAACCAGUGACAUAUUUUCUAGUCAUUAGACAAGCAGCAUAAUCUAUAUCACAAUAGAUUGUCAUCUUCAUAUGACAACCUUGAGACAAAAGUAUAUCAAGUCCUGGACAUCCCUUCAAGUACUUCAUGACCUUUAGUGUCGUAUUCUUAUAAGACUACUUUGGGUUGUGCAUAAAUUUAUUGAGUAUUUGCACUGCAUAACAUAUAUUAAGUCUUGUCAGGGUAAGAUAUUUUAGUUUUCCAACAAGCUGUUGAUAUCCUAACAGGUCUUUAAGCAAUGAGUCCUUGUUGAAUGAUGAAUCCACGUCAUAUUCAUGUGAUGUCAACUUGAUAUUAUGCUCAAUUAGUAUAAAAAUUGGUUUACAAGCUGAUAAUCCUAAUUUUGAGAUAAUUUCCAAAACAAAUUUCCAUUGGCUAAGACAUAUUCCCUCUUUGGAUUAAGCUAUCUCAAUCCCAAGAAAAUAUUUAGGAGGUGUUAAAUCCUUUAUGUGAAGAGUAGAAUGCAGACAUUCUUUGAAUUUCCCAAUGGUAAAUUCAUCAUUUCCCAUGAUAAACAUAUCAUCAAAGUAUAUCAAUAAAUUAAUUGACAAUGUACCUCUGGUCAAUGUAAAUAGAGUAUAAUCAUGCUUGGAAUACUGAAAGCCUACGUUUGUGAGUGCAUCAGUAAACUGGGCACACCAUUAUCAAGAAGUUUGCUUAAGCCCAUAGAGGGAUUCACAAAGACAACGCGCUCGAAACUCCUUCCCUCUUCGUAAACCACGUUGUUUACACCUAAAUGUUGGCGAUCUAUUUAGUCAUUUAUUGCAUAAAAAAAUUAGGGAUUAAUUUUAUCCCUGAAAAAAUAUUAAUUGCAUAGCAUAUAAGUUUAGGUGCAUUUGUUUUUAAUUUGCAUUUUUUUACACUUAUUUACUGGAUCAAUGGCGGAUGGGUCGAAUUAGUGGUUUUAGGUUUUAAAUUAGCAGACUGGGCUAGGCCCACGAAAAGAGUACAAAUUGGCCCGAGACCGUUUUCUGAAAUUGCGAUUUGAAAUGAGGAUUUUUGAAAUUUAAGAAAAUUAGGUUUUGAUCUUAUCUUUAAAAAUCAAUAGAAAAUAUUUAGGAGAUAAGAAAAAAAAGAGGAUUUUGUGAUUCGGAGGUUAUAGGAAAAUCUUCGUGUAUAUUGAAAAGUGGAUGAAAUAUUUCACGAAGAUUUUCAUCUUAUUUGCCUAUAAAAGGGAGCCGUAUACGAUGAGAGAACGGGGGCUUCGCUGAAAAGAAAAAAGGGAAGAAAAAAAGGUCAAAGAGAAGUUUUGCUUCUGCAGUAAAAAAAAGAAAGAGAGAAAGAGUACGAAGGAAGAGGGAGAGUGACGUGAGAGAGGGAGAGAGAGGAGAAAAAGUAAAGUAAGAAGGCUGAUUUGACUCAUACUGUUCAUCUUCCUCGCCGUUCCUCUCGCUGCCCGAUUCGCCGCGCCUCCAGUCACAGAUUCGACGCCGGCCACCGCAUCGGUGUUUCCUCCGCCAGCCCGUCGUCGUUCGUCCGCGAAGCUGCCCCCGCCUCUGCACCAGUGCCGUCGCAGCAGCUCACCCGUUCGUCGCUACUGGUCGCCGCACCUCCUCACCACCACGAGCCCCGCACCCUGCGACACCCCCUCGCCGGUGCCCUGCUUCGCCGAAGUCCUUUGCCGGUGUCAAUCGUCCGUGAAGCCCGACGCCAGAGCCAUUCCUGCCCUGCGCCACCCGCUCGAAGCCGUGAGUCCACUGUUCGCUGAUCCACGAUUCCGACGCUGCUGCUGAACCGCUCCACUAACCCGACGAAGCCACCGCCGAGCUGAUCCGCGACGACGCUGCUUCCCUUGCCCUGUCCGCGAUCCGCCCACCACGCCACCGGAAUCCCUCUGCACCCGCGAGCCCGUCCCGACGCCACUGCAAUACCAGUCACUGCUGCAACUCCGAGCGCCGACGACCGCGCGUCUUCCUCCGCCUGCACCUCCCGUCGCCGGCACCGCGACGCCACCCGCGACCUGCUGCUGCCGCCGGACCGCUCGCUACCGAUCCACCCGUUGCUGGUCCUCGCCGGAGCUCUGAACGCCGGCGACCCAACCUCCGGUGAUCCACCGAAGUCGCUCGGCCGUGGGUGAAGCAAGCAGGAAAAGAAAAAAAACAAAAAGAAAAAAGGGAAUCCAAUUAGGUAGAUUAGUUUAUUAUUAUUAGUAUUAUUAUUAUUCUCGUUUAUUUAUUGUGCUUUAUUUGAUAGCUUUCUUUAAUUCAUUUACAUUGUAAUAUUGGAUGUCGAUGCUUAUUUCAAAAUAUCUUACAGGCAUUAUCCAUAGGGAUAUUCCCUAAGAUUAUUGUAAUUAUUAAUUUGACCCGUAAGAUAUCGAGUCAUUUUUUUAAUUGUAUUAAUUCUUGGGGUUUUGUCGAUAGCACAUUAAUUGUGGAAUCAAUAUAACUAUUAAUUUGAUCCGUAAGAAUUCGGAUCAAAUUUUUAGUUAUUUUGAUCUUUUUGUCAUGACAUUCAGGAUUAUAAUAAUCAUUAAUUUGACCUGUGAGAUGACAGGUUAUUUUUUCGAUCAUUGUAAUUCUUUAUUUGAUUGGAUGCCUUGAUUAGUUUAGAUUUAAUGUUUAGUUGGUAAUUGCAUUAUUUAAAAAAAAACCACUAAAAAAUCUAAAAAAAUAUUUGAAUUAGGAUUCAGUUUGUUUUGGAAUAUUUCUUGUUAUCUUGCAUAUCUAGAAUAUGGAUUUUAUUCCGAAUUUAAAAAAAUAAAAAAUGCAAAAAGAAAAAUGCAUUCAUUUAGGAUUUUAGUUGCAUGUUUAAUUAUGUGGCAAUUUUAAAUUUUGAAUUUUAAAUAAAAAAUAAAAGAUAAAACAUAUCAUGCAUAUGUCAUGUAGAAUUAGGGCAUGCUCCGCACGUCAUUGCAUAUUAGAUAGAUCGCAUGUUAGAUUAAGAUAAUGUUUUAGUUCAAUUAGGAUUUAAUGUGACUUAAUCAUUAGUUUAAAUUAGAUAGAAUUUUAAUCUAGCUAAAUCAUAUCAAGUGCACGUCAUUUAGUUUUUAUUAGGUUCAUUUAAUUAGAACUUCUUCGUUAUUAGAUUAAGUCAUUUAAUAAAUGUCGCAUGACAUAUAACUCGCAUACUAAAUUGUAUGCUGCAUGUCAUUUUAGGUUAAAUAAUUUUGUAUGUCAUUGCAUCGCAUCGCAUGUCAUUAGAAUUAGGUCAUUUAGAUUGCAUUUAAUUAUUGCAUUUCUUCAUGUCAUAUAGUUUAGGUCAUGUUGCCAUGUCAUAUUAGAUUAUUAGCAUGCAUCGCAUGAUUCUCAUUAAAUAAAGUGAAAACAAAAAUUAAGUAAUUGCUUGUUAAUUAGAAACCAUAUCUAGGGUUGUUGAUGUGGAUUUUAAUUUAACACUGCAGAUGCUUGCUUUCGUUGCUUUUAGGUAAAUUCUACAUUAUUUAAUUGCUUUUUUGGGUGAUAAAUUGGUGAUAUGCGCACACGUAUGAUCACCUCACAUAUUAGGAAGUUAAAUUAAAAUCAAUUCAAUUGCCAAACAUACUUUUGAAAAUGAAAUAAAAAGGUACCGAAAAGGCACUAGGAUAGUCUAGUGUAACCAAGUCCCCGAACUCAUAAAUCUCUGGUUCGUAGGAGUAAAGUAAAUCUCCCGUUACUUUACUUGGGUUUCUAAUCGACCCACCAAAAAUAGAUUAGUGGCGACUCCUGAUUAAAAAUCAUUUGCAUGUUAAGAAUUCAAACUUAAGUCACGAAUUGGUAUGGGCUUGGGAGAGCUCGAGCUAAGCUUAAAGACUUAGUAAUCCAUUAACCUAGUUUUAGGUGAUGAACCUGAAAAAUUUAGGUCGCGACACACUUGGAAUUUUCAUAUAGAUUUUUCCUUCUAGGAUUCCCAUGGAGAAAAGCAUUGUGGACAUCCAUGUGGUGCAAUUGCUAAUUGCACAAAGUAGCAAUGGAUAGAAAAGAUCGAAUGGUUAUUUCGGCAAUUAGGGAAAAGAUCUCAUGAUAAUCAAAACCUUCUUAUUAUGUGAAUCCCUUAGCGAGUAAGCGGGCCUUGUAUCAUUCAAUAGAUCCAUCUACUUUAAGUUUGAUAUUGUAUAUCUAUUGCAACUAGUGGGUUUACAAUGUGAAGGUAAUUGAAUAAUAUCCCAAGUAUGAUUUUUCGUAAGAGCAUGUAACUUGACCUCCAUAACUUUUUGUCAGUGAGUAUCACGUGCUUCUUUUUAUAUAUAAGGAUGGUUCUUGUUUCUUGGAAAUAUGACUGAUACAAUAUGUGUGUUUUAGGGAUAGUCUACUAAAUGAAACAUAUGAGGAUAUUGGAUUAUGUGUAUCUGGGAAUGCAAUAUAGGACAUAAGUAAUCUUUGGUCCAUGUGAGGGGCGAACAAGAUGUCUAGAGCGUCGAGGUUGUUUAGUGAUUGUCUAUUUAGUAACCGCCAUGCAAGAUCCAUCAACAAAAGGUUUUGAAGAUACCAUUGGUGAAAUAGAUAAAUGAUUCUCCUAAGAUAAUCUGGACGAAAACCCAAUUGAUUGGUCCAAGGAAUUAGGACUGGUUGGCGUAGGUAGGGAUAUCAGAACUGAACUGAAAAAUUGAGCCAAAAUCAAAAUCGAACUAAAUCAAACCAAACCAAAAUUUCGUGCAUUUUUUAUUCGGUUUGAUUUGGUUUUCGGUUUGGAUAAACGAAACAUAACCAUUCUUUUUUCCUAUUUGGCUUAGUUCAGUUAACCAAGUUGAACCAAAAUUCUCAACAAAACUUAGACGCCCAAUUUAAAAUCUCUUUUUUUUUUCUCACCAGUUAUUCAGUUCAGUACUAAUAAGUAAGGCAAAAAUAGGAAAAUCGAAAUACCAAACCGAACCGGGUGUAUUCAUUUUGAGUCGGACUUGGUUUGGUUUAAAUUCACACCUUAUCAGUUCGAGUUACCAAGAAAAUCAAACCGAAUCAGAUUGUAAACACCCCUAGGCGCAAGUGGUUUUGGUGCAACAAAGAUGUACUAGGGGGCCAUGGAUAGAUCAUCUUUUAACAAAAAAAAUCUGUUGUUGGAUCUCAAUAGAGAUGAUUGGGAUGAAGAGGUCAUCUCCUGAAAUGGGAACACAUCUUCAUGGAAAACUGCAUCUCGACUUACGUUGAAAUGGCUUGUAGAUUUUUUCAUAACCCAAUAGCCUUUCUAUAGAGAAGAGUAUCCUAUGAAAACACAUCAAAAGGGUGUGGCAAUCUAUUUUAUCCCGAGGGCUCAUAGUUGUCACAUAAUAUAAACAUCCAAUAACUCUUAAAUUAUCAAUUCUAAGUUCUUUCCUAAAAAGCAUCUCAAAAGGAGUUCAACCUUCAAGGAUUCAAGUUGGCAUGCGAUUAAUUAAGUAGGCUGCCGUCACCACACAAUCUCCCUAAAAUAUUUCAAGAAUUGAAACUUGAUAUUUUAGAGCUCGAGCGACUUCCAAGAGGUGUCAACGUUUGUGCUCAACAAUCCCAUUUUAUUAGGGAGUAUAAGUACAUGAACUUUUGUAGAGCAUUCCUUGAGAGGAUAAAAAAGAGUUGCAUUCACUAGUGAAGGACUCGCAUCCAUUAUGUGGAAGAAUUCUUUGGACAAAUUUGUUGAAGUGAUUCUUAACUAAGGAGAGGAAUUUCGAUAGGAAAAGGUUGACUCUUGGAUUACAUAAGGAAGACCUAGGUGGCACGGUAUAAUCAUGGACAAUAGUGCAAAAAGAAAAAGGAAAAGAAGAUCCAUCAGGAUGUGGAGUAUGAUAAUGAUCCUAGAUAUCCAUAUGGAUCAAGGAGAAUGCACUAGUAGCUGGAGAUGUACUUGUUGGAAAUGGUCCCUAUAACCAAAGGGUAAAUUAGACAUUUUGGGUGAGGAAAACGAACACUGUGACCAAACGUUGAUGAGAAAUAAAAGUUUUAUUACUAAUAGUAGCAUUACAAGAAAUGCUCUUAUUCAACAAUAUAAAGUUUUUGGAAAAAUUGAUCGAAAAACAUAAUCCUUGUGCAAUAUUACCUAAGCCCAUUAGCUUCCCAGUCAAAUGGUUUGAAAGAAGUAAAUUUUAGAAUUGAAUGUUGCAUGGCAAGAAUUGUCCUCGUAAAUUUUGGAAAUAGAUAUGAGAUUGAACUCUACAUCAAGGAUGUAAAGGACAUUCUUUCUUGAGGAUAAUGUUUGGGCUAAGAUUGACAAUGCCAAUUUUAUUGAUAUAAAUAGGGUUUUCAUUUGGGAGACAUAUUGAUACGCAAGAUUUGUGUCUUUUCUGAACAUGGAAAAAAUGCUCGUUGCAAAUUAUAUAGUCAUUGGCAUCUGAAUCAAUUUUUUAUGCAUCAACUAAAAUAAAAUUCCUUUUUGAGAAAGAAAUACCUGAAAAACUCUUAGUCUUAUCAAUAGUUGUCAAUUGACUCAGAGUUUUCAUAAUGUUGUGAUAUUGAUUUAUGGUAAUUGUCUAAUGCAUUCUUUUGGUGCCUUGUACUAAAACCUGGUAAGUAGAAACUUCUCUUUCCCUUUUUCUUUAUCAUUUGUCUUGCCAAGCAAAUUUCAACACGUACUAGCAGUAUGAUAUGGGCAUUAGCAAUAAUCACAAAAUUUAUCUUUUGUUUUGGAUUUUUGUCCACCAUUCUCGCACCUUGUGAACCAUUAGAUGAUUUAAAGAUUGGGGCUGACGUGGCCUGACAUGGGCCUUUAGUUUAGGCCAAAUAGCUAAUUAAAUAGUUGUCGUUGGAUCCUGAUCUCUGAUCUUGGCCGUUUGUUCGAGAAAGUCCUCUAGGGUUUUUUUUUUUUUAGCAGACACCGCUUGUUGAUGCUCCCAAGGUACUCGAAGCUUCCCAGACUUAUUUAUGGUGGCUCCGUUGAAGCCGUGAGGGUGCCUUCAACUCUUCUGUGUUUGGCUGUCACCAACCAUUGGCCUUAUUCUAGGACAGCCAACUAGUAGAUCUGGUCGAGCAAUGGCAUUGGUUGCAUUGCCAAAAUCUGCCAUUGGAAAUGUGAGAAUGUUUUAUUCAAGAUUAGCAAGAAUCGAGUCACUUUCUUCCUCUCCUUCAUCACUUCAUACUGUUGGAGGUUGGUCUCUGGUCCCCUGAGUUGCUCCUCGAUUGACUCAAGCUUAUUUCACGGAUUGAAGUAAGCGAUGGUUGAAAGGUUCCCUUCUUCAAUUCCAACAAUAACCUAAGUGAGCCAAAACAAUUUUGCUCAAUCGAGCUUCUUGUACAUUUCAAAUAUGUUUUCCCAUAUCUCUUUCAAGUUCUCAAUUAGUGGAAGUCUAGCCAUGACAUCGGGUGUUAAGCACUUCAAUUGGUUGCGCUUUUGUCAAUGCUGUUGCAAUUGUUCAUUGGUUGGAAAUGGGACAACUCCAUCGAGGAAACCGUCCUUAUCUUAGCCGGAAGUUGCGAGCCCAAGCGAUAUAGUUAUCCCGCAGAUGAGCUGUAGAUUGAUGAGACGAAGGUCUGGUCUGUUGAUCGGUGAGGUGUAGAGAGGGUCAUUGGACUCCAGGCGGGUUGCCACUGGCUGGAUUGUUUUACCCGGGAACCACGCUCACCCCUAGUCCUUGGACCCAAUUGAGUGGAAUUGAGUCUAUGAUCCGGACUAGUCUAACCCAAUCCAUCAGCUAGUUGGGUGCCAAAGCCUGGGGCUCUUUGUUCUCUAAAUUGGUCUUUUUGUGCCCACGUCUGGCUUGGUCUAGUGGUCCAUUGGCCUUGAACCGAAGACUAGUGGACUAGUGGCCACUGGACUGGGCCGAAAACUUAAAUAGGAGUAGGGUCAGUGUGUUGAACGGAAGAACUUUCUUCUUCAACUGGAUUAAUUUGAUUAGAAUCUUGGUUUCGAGGUAAAUUGUUUCUUUCCUUUUUUGUGAUUUGAUUUUUUAACAUGGUAUCAAAAAGUUUGAAUUCCUACCAGGGUGCUGUUUUGUUUUGUAGAAUUAGGAUUGCAACAACAAAAAAUAGAACAAAACUGGAGGCAAUUCUAAAAUCGCAAAAGCUAGGCCAGGAAAGAAAGUUUUGAUACCAUGACAAAAAUCGAAAGGAUUGGAGGAAAUUCUAUUAUGUUGUAUCAAUUUGUGUACACAUAAAAAGGUCCAUUUAUAAUACAAGAUAAUUGAAAAUAGGAAAAUGAGUAUUUAAGAUUACAAUUCCUAUUCUACAUAAUCAAUUACAGAUUGACACAAUCAGAAUCACAAUCAAUAACCUUCAUAUAUUCAAUCAUAUCUUUAACAUGCAGUAACCGGAACUUUCUAACACCUGAGGCCAAGAAGACAAGGUCUGUUUGUUUGAACCAUCACUUUAUGGCCUUAAUCAAUUUCCUAUAUAAUGGUACAAUUGAUUUGACUCCUUUAUGUGUGGUUAGUAGUAUAGAAGGAGUUCUUAUGAAAACGGUGUAGUAUAGAGGUUCAAGGAUGUUAGCUAUUGCUGGUAGAUAUUUUAUAAUAUGAACAUGUCCAAUAAUGAUGAACUGAAACGGCGAUUAAGAAGUGAGUGAUAAAAGACCUAGGUGGUAGACAAACAUAUACUGUGCAGAGAGAGAGAGAGAGAGAGAGAGAGAUUCGGCUAUCACCAGGUGAAGUACCGAGACAGCUUAGCGUGCAAAACGCCAAACUCUGAGUACCCAACUAGUUGCACAUUUUAAGCUUUCAACUGAUCUUGAAGCAUGGUCAAAAUAUGAGAAAGAAUACUUGAAUUUUCGCGUACUAUUAGUAUUGUGAGUAGUUAUAUGACUUAUCUUGGUAGUUAUAUGACUUAUCUUGGAAGGAAACACUGGGAAUAGGUUUUGUGAUAGGGAUAAUGGAUGUUUGUUUUCCCAGAGAUCCUUGAUAGGUUACAUGUUAAGUUUUGUAGGUUGUGCUUUUAGUUGGAAAGCGUAAUUAUUGCUGAUAACUGUUUAGCCAAAAAUUGAAGUAGAGUAUAUGACGUCAAUCAAGGCAAUGAAAGAAGUUGUAUGGCUUAGAGGUUUGCUCAAUGAUAUGGGAAGAUAGUAGGAGAAUAUCGUUGUUUACUACAACAAUCAGCGUGCAAUACAUUUGGUUAAAAAUCGAAUGUAUCAUGAUGUCAAGUACCACUUUUGUACGUGAUUUCAUCCAACUGGAAACCGCAUCCGUUGAGAAUGUGCACAUGAUAGAGAGACAUAUUAAUGAAGCUUAUUCCAUUAAUAGGGACAAUGACAUCUGUUAAACAUUUUGUGAAGAAAUGAACUCCCAGAGAUCCUUCAUAGGUUACACGUUUAGUUUUGCAGGUUGUGCUAUCAGUUGAAAAGCGUAAUUAUUGCUAAUAACUGUUUUACCAACAACUAAAGUAGAGUAUAUAACGUCAAUUGACGCAAUGAAGGAAGUUAUAUAUGGCUUAGAGGUUUGCUCGAUGAUCUGGGAAUAUGGUACGAGAAUAUUGUUGUUUAAUACAACAAUCAAUACAUUCAGUUAAAAAUUGAAUGUAUCAUGACCGUACCAAAAUACAUUAAUGUCAGUUGCCAUUUUCGUAUGUGAUAUUAUGCAGUGGGAAACCGCAUCCGUUGAGAAUAUGCACAUGACAGAGAGACAUAUUAAUGAAGCUUAUUCCAUUGAAUAAGUUCUAGUACUACUAAUUGGACUUUGGUGAGUGUCUGUAGCAUGUCAGGAGCCCAGAGAGGCUCGAGGAAGACGAUGAUCAUGAUGAUGAAGUUGGACUUUUUGCUGAGGUGGAGAUUUAUUGAUUAUGGCCUGAAGUUAUCAACUAUUUUGAAGUCUGAACCCACAGAUGAAUCGCAAGGUAGCCUGGGCCCCAAAUUAGACUCUCGUCAGGACUUUGGACAUUGCAAAAGAGAUUCGGAAAAGACUUAUUUUCCUAAUUGAAGAAUGGCUCUUAAUUUGUUGCAUAUAAAUAUACUUUUGUCAAGUUUGGUCUGGUGUGCAUAAUGAGUGCGUUUAACAUGUAUGAAGCUGGCGAGAUACAGAAAGUAUCGAGAGCAGUCAUCCAAGAGAGUUGAUAACAUGAGGAAACUUUUUGCCUGUGAUUGAUUCAUGCGAUUUUGGAUUUAUUUUAGGAUCGGAAAACACUUAUUAGUGACUGCUGCAUCAAUUAUAAUAGAAUCAUUCCGUCGAUAUCUCUCAUUGGAGUAGACACACCGCCAGAUCACUUAAAUCUGUUAUUUUCAGAUUUUAUUUCUACAAUUUAUUUCUUAUUCAAAUUGUUUUAUUUAUUCAUAUUUCCGCGGUAGUCACACAGAUUCGGUAUCUUGAACCAAUUUUAUUAAAGGUGAGGACAUGGUACAAGACACAUUUACAGCGACAUCAUAGAGAGUAGAGGUGGCAAAAUGGGUCUUAGACCCAUAUAUGACCUAUUUAAAUCAUAAAUGGGUCAUUUGUUUUUUUGAAGAAACUACUUAAAUGGGUUUAAUAAUUAAAGACUUAAGAUAUGUGGGUCUUAGGUUGGAUUUAGAACCCAUUUUCAACCAAAACCACACAAUCUCCAUCUUCCCUCUUUAACUUUACAAAUAUAUAUAUAUAUAUAUAUAUAUAAAUUGAAAUUAUAAUUUUUUUAUUAUAAUUUUCUUUUCUUUUUCCGUUUUUCUUUUUUCUUUACUUUUUUUUUUCUUUCUUCUUCCUUCUUCCGGUGGUUAGCAUGGCGAUGGCCAACGAUUGACCAAGCGAGCCUCGAGCUCGUUGGAUCUGGUGAGGCGGAGGCCUUGCUGACAUCCGGCAAGGCUCGAGCCUCGCCGAUCAGGCGAGACUCGAGCUCGCUGAUGUUGGGCGAGCCUCGAGCUCACCAGCAUCGAGCAAGCUCAAGCUUGUCAGAUCUGGCAAGGUGGAGGCCUCGCGGAUAUUUGGCGAGGUGGAGUCCUUGCCAAUCUAGUGAGCCUUGAGCUCGCCGAUGUCGACGAGUCGGGCGAGCUCGAGGCUUGCUUGUGGCCGGCGACCGGCCAAAGAAGAAGAAGAAGAAGAAGAAAAAAAAAAUAUAUAUAUAUAUAUUCUUAAAAAUAAAAAUAAAAAUAAUUAAAAAAUUAAUAUUUUAGGAAAAUAAAAAAUAAUUAAAGUUCGAUUUUUUAAAUAAUUAUUUUAAAAAUUAUAAAAAUUGUCCAUUAAAUUUGUGUUAUAUAAAACCAUUUUAGCAAUACCAUUUUUAAAAUAUAUAUAAACUUUUUUAGGUUUCAUUAAAUGGGUCGGGUAUGGGUCGAAUACGGGUCGGGUCGGGUUUGGGUCAAAAGUUUUGCACCAUAAUAAAUGGGUCAUAAACGGGUUAAAUGAAUCAAUUUUGAUCGGACCAUUUAUGACUCGACCUAAACUCGACUUGACCCACCCGUUUAACAGGUCUAAUAGAGAGGCCUAGCAUGGUAUUUUACACCCAACACGGAGAACACAUCCUCCGAAAGCAUGAGAGAUCAUGUGCACCGAUAUGUACAAUAAGCGACUCAUUCGCGAGAGACUCCAACCACCUGUUUCCCAACAUUGCUACCGGAAAACAACCCAAUCAGAUGGUCUGCUCCCUUGUAAAGAGACGCAUCUACACUCAAAAGACAAACAGAAAAUAACCCCUUUUGGAAACACGAGGAAAAGAGAGAUUAUGCCGAUGAAAAAGUACAGAAAGCUGAAUCAUUUGUGAGAAACCACGACCACCUGUUUCCCGACAUUGCCACCAGAGAACACCCCGGCAAGAGCUGCCGGACCGUUCUCGAGCCAUUCCGCUAUGUCUUCCACGGACACAAUCUUCCCCUCUUUGAUCUGAGGCAAUACCUUCUCAAGGAACUUCGGGUAGAGAUGAUAGUAAUUGGACACCAGGAAACCUUCCAUCCGAACCCCGUUUCAGGACAAGGUUCAUCAAGUUGUGUACGCCUUCAUGCUGCUUGAGGUUGUACUGUGAGAUCAUUCCGCAUACUGUGAUUUGGCCAUGCAGUUUCAUGUAUAGCAGCACGGCAUCAAGCAUCUUUCCACCGACAUUGUCGAAGUAGAUAUCGAUUCCCCCAGGGAAGCAUCUAAACAUUUAAGACAGAAAAAUGUCAACUCGAGCCAGCUUCAGAACAGGUACAUUUUUAAUAUUUUGUACAUCAGUAACUCAUUUGCUCAAUCAUCGUUAUUAUAUUUCUGGCUCACCUUUUCAAUGCUGCAUCCAGAUCCAACUCCUCCUUGUAGUUGAAAGCAUCAUCGAAUCCAAACUUGUUCUUCAGCAAAUCAACCUUUUUCAUGAACAUAACAGCAAGAGAGAAGUCUAAGUAAGAUAAAAUCCAUAAGAGACUAUUAAGACUGUAUUUUUAGCAUUUAUGUUUAGUGAAAUGAUGAGGGUACACAUUCAACACUGCCAUCAGUGUCUUGAGCAUUCUCAUAGUUGAGAUAUACAGCAGUAACAGCAUUCAUCAUAUCUCAGGUGCUUCUUUUAGAUCUUAUUCUAUUUUAGACGAGAGGAACAUGUGUUCCAUUUCAAACGCUUGUCUAGUCACUCAUUAUGAAACAAAAGUGAAAUUUGCAGAUGCCAAACAUGCUUGGUGAACCAUUAACAUCGACAUGAUUUUGUGCUUCUUUAAACACUAGACAUGUGGGAUGAUUACCUUCUCUUUGCUACCGGUGCUGCCAACAACAUAACAACCCAGCACCUUUGCAAACUGGCCAACAAGCUGACCAAUGGCUCCUGCCGCCGCCGAUAUGAAAACAAUCUCUCCUUUCUUAGGAGAGCAUACCUCGAAAAACCCAGCAAAGGCUGUCAUGCCUGGCAUACCUGGAAAGUACCGAUUUGCACAAAUUAGAUGAGUUUCAAGAUUUCCUGAAGCACAGGAGUAGGAGUGUAAACCUGUGGCAUAAUCUCAAGUGAUCUGAUUAAUUGAACGAAGGCAAAGCCCCUGAGAAAUGGAUUGACUUCUCAGAGGAGGCUUCUAUUUCAUUGAGAACUAAUCGAUUUACACAUUCAUUCAACACGAAAGACAGUUUCGCAGGGCUCUAGUUUUAAGGCAAUUCAACGAGGGCAUAUGGCUCUAUAACAAGGAAGAUCCCUACAAGUAAAAAUUCAAGGGAAGCACACCUUUUCCUUGCGUAGCUGGAGGCUGUUCGUACUUGAGAAUGAAAUAGACAGAACAAAGUAUCUUAACAAUCUGAUUCCCAUCAUUCUUAAACACUGAAAGACAUAACACACCAGAAGAUUAAAUAGCAUACCCAAAAGGCCGGUGUAGGAAGACAGGGGAACAUCAGAGUGUUCAAUUUUAACGCAAGUAUCUGGCGCAGUAAUUAGACUAUACUCCUCCCAUCCAGUGAUGCCCCAGACCAAGUCGCCUGUCUUGAAGUUUGGAUGCCCAGAUUCCAAAACUCUAGCUACUCCAUAUCCAUGAAUAGGCUGCUUCAAUAUGUUAAACACCUCAGAAUAUAAGUGCACAUCCGUUUAGCUAUCACGAAUAGACUUUGAGCUGACAAGAAGGGAUGAGUGUGCUUCCUUUGAAUUUUACUUGUCGAGUAAACUCAGUCGCAACUUUGAGUUUGAUGUAGACAUGCGAGGUCAUAACUUACUGUUGGCAUCAAUAUCGAAUCAAUGUGACGAGAGAGGUGGCGGUACUUACGGAGCCGAGAGGAGUGAAGUGCUUGAUGAGGUUGAGAUUGUAGGAAUCGCAAGCCAGGUACAAGUUCUUCACCGCAAUGGUCCCUGAAUCUUUGUCGGCCUUCAGUCUCUCCGAACUCGUCUUCACUUCCAAGUGGGUCUCUGUCAGGGAAUAUUGGACCUCCUCUCUGUAUAUUACCUGUUUGUUGCUCAUCACUUCCACUGAAGCAUUGGGACUCUCCUUCUCCAUUCUCUCUCUCUCUCUCUCUCUCUGUGAGAAACAUGGCCAAAUAGCGCUCGUGCAUUUAUUGGGAGAGGGAUAAUGAGAUAUGCUUACGUGUGCUCGUAUGUCAUCGGCACGAACGCUUACGCAUGCCGUUGUGUCAUCGGUGGAAAUAGUAUUUUACUCCUAGGGAACAAAAGCAGUUGAUCAAAGUGGCCAAUUGACUUCUACUCAUUAGAAACUUCUGUGAUUUGUGGUAAAACGUAAAGGAAUAUUUUACGUGGUAAACGAAGAAUUUAAAGAGAAAUCUGAAAGGGUUGUUAAUUGGACACUUUCUUUACGAGUCCUCUCUUCUUGUCCCUUUUCGUUAGUGCUGGAUCUUGUUUUCCACUUAGAUAAAGGUAAGUGUCUGUAAUUGACAGAUAAGUAUAUGAAAACCCUAAAGUUUAUUGUGAUCAAAGUGGCCAAUUGAAUUCUACUCAUUAGAAAAUUCUCUGAUUUGUGGUAAAACUUAAAGGAAUAUUUUACGUGGUAAACGAAGAAUUUAAAGAGAAAUCUGAAAGGGUUGUGCUGGCAUCGCCCGUAGCCACAAAAUUUUCCUUUCUCCGGCACAAGUUGUGGAAAUUUCCAAGCAAGUUGACGAGCCGUCUUCCAAGUUAAUGGGACGCUUGGCAAGCAAAAUCCAGUCUAAAAAUAAUGUAAUUUUUAAGGAGCAAAGCUGCACAUCGCCAGUUUUCCUUUUCCUCACAUUCUUCAUCUCCUUGACUUGAUUCGAGCGCAGUAGUGUGCAUUUGCAGUGGGGUGGUGAAAUCGUAAUCAUUGGUUGAAAAAAGCAAAUGAUGAAUGGAUGAGCUUAAAUUUCUUUUUAUUUAAAUUGAUCGUAUAUGAAUGGGUCUACAUAGACUUAACCGAGCCAACACCAAAAAGAGGACUACUUAAUUAGACUUACUCAUUUUUCAGUACAGAUCGAUACGAUCCAUGAUCACUUCUAAAACAAAGACACAACAAGCAAUCUUUGUUUUUGCGUCUUUGUUUUUGUCCAACUUUGAAAUACUCAUUUGACAUUUCGAGAUGUUGUGCCAUGAACGUUUCUCCGCUUUUGGACCGCUCCCAUAUAUGAUGAUGGAGGCUUGCUUCACAUCCGUCGUUCUUACUUCAUUUCACUAGUAGGCCUCUAUAUAAUUUGCAGUGUUCUGAUUACUUAAAAACCCACUUAUCAUAUUAUUUAUUUGAUUGGAUUGAUGUAAUUCUUUAAUUAGUCGUUGCUGUGCGUUUGGAUCGCCAACUCUCGAUACCAAGUAAAGCAAAAUCUAUAUAUGUUUUACCAUUCUUAAACUCACAAAUCUAUUUCUUUUUAUUUCUUUGAUUGAGUGACGUAAUAUUGAUUAUUUGUUAGAUUAAUUGGGUAAUUUUAUCCCUCUAUAUCAUUUGCCCCAACGUUUUGUAAUGGGAACGAUGAACGAUGUGACACCAAGUAAAGCAAAAUAAACUGGUCUUUCUCAUUCUAAUUUCAGAUUCAUUUCUCUCUCCAAUUUGAAAAUGUUAUUGCCGUUGUACUCUUAUUGCACUUCUUAAUUAACUCUUUUGAAUAUUUUGCAUUCCUUUCAAUUAUUGAUUUAACGCGAUCUUCAAUUGUUUUACGUUUUCAAUUAACGAAGAUCUAAUUCUAUGGUUUGCAUGAAAAAAUUCUUGUCUUUCUUUUUUCAACUUUUUAUAUUUCUUUUUUUUUUGGGGGGGGGGGGGGGGAAGAGUUCAUUUGAGUAAAUAAAAACUUACUGUCUAAUUCAUUUUCUUUGUGCUUUUCUUCUAUCUUUUUUAAAGCGCUAUGCUUGGUUAUUUACUUGAUGGAAAUGCUCUUAUUUGCAUGAACGCGAAAUCCCUCUUUCCCUUUUUCCUUCUUUCUUUUCAUUUCUGAAGGCGUCCAUUGUUUGCUGUUUUGUUGACAUUUCAACUCUGUUUUAUGACCCAAAAAAAACUCUGUUUUCUUUUUUCUUUUUUCCCUUUGCUUUGUCGAACUCCAAAUGUUACAGCAAGUGCACAUCCGUCUACUUCAACAGUUGAAUCAUAUUAUUUAUAUCUGUGUUUUUUCUCUGUGUUUAUCUUUUUAUUCUAUUUGUUAUUAUUAUAAAAUUUUUUCUAAUGAGUGUUUCUCAUUUAUGUUUGAUUGUCAAGAGAAAAAUAUCAAUUUCAGUCCUUCUCAUAUAGUUCUUUUUUUUAAAAUUAAACAAACAUAUUUAGUUGUUAAUACUAUUCAAAGUCAAACAACAAAUAUUCAAAUUAUGCGUAAGAAAAUAUUAAAUUGCAUGUUGAGUUUGAGUUGGUGCAAGAACUAUUAAGAAAUCCAUUUUCUUAUUGGGAUCAAGAUCCAACAGACCGUGUAGUUUUCUGGACUGGUUUGUUUGGCUUUUUCGGUUUGGUCAAAGGAGAUGUCUGGUUGUUUGACUCCUAUACGUAGCCACACAAGAGAGAAAGCCAUUAAAGAAAUGGAGGGGUGAAAAGGUCUUUGUCAGAGUAAAGAAAACAAAGUAAAAUAUAGUUUUUUUUUUUGGCUUUCACGGGGGCUCGGAUACACGAGAAUUUUGUGGUGUGAAUUUUAUAUCCAAGUUGAGUUGUAGCACUUACUAGUAAUUUAGGUGUGAGAAAUAUUUGAAUGUGUCUAUGAUUGUAACUUUGAUUCUCUAAUUAUAAUGAAUUAUUUACUACCAGUUUUCUCUGUGGAGAAAGUAUCGAUACUCGGAUCGAAUCACGUAAUUCAUUCAUGUCUUUUAUUUUUGUCAUUUAUUUAUCUAGUAAUUUCAUCUUGAUUUAAAUUGCAAAAUCUUGUUAAUUUCCUCAUUAAUUUUAAAAUGGGAAGUUUUGUGUCCAUACAUUUUAAAGAGAUUGUGUGGUCUUUAUACAUGCAAUGCACGUGACAUUCUACUAGUAAUUUGAAGAGGGAUAAUUACGACAAAAGUCUUAAACUUAUUGUUCGAAUGUCAAUUUAGUUCAAAUUUUUUUAAUUUAGCCAAUUUAAUCUUAAAUUUUUUGAUGAUUUGUCACUGUAAUCAUGCCGACCAGUUUUGGUCGAUAAUUGCUAACGUGGACAAAGAUGGUCUUACAUGGUAUAAUUGACGUUGAUGUAGAUAAUUUUUCUCUUUUUCAUGAUAUUUUCAUUUAUUUUUUAUUUUUAUUUUUUUCUUCCCUUGCUGGUUGUCAUGGCCAACAAUCAGCCAUAGUUGAGGGAUGGUAAGGGCAAGCCUCACCUAAGGCCCAUGAGAUCAGCCCUUGUGCGACCCUUGCUUAACGCUAGUUGCCAGCGAUUGCCAAGGCCCAACAACUGGCAAGCAAGAAGGAAAUAAAUAAAUAAAAAGAAAAAAUGAAAAUAAACUAUAGAUAUUUAAAAAAAAUGCAAAAAGUUGAUGACAUUAGUGUUGGUUGUGCCACAUUGCUGGCCAAAAUUAGUUGAAAGAACUAUAUUAGCAAAUCAUUAAAAGAUUUAUGAAUAAAUUGGCCAAAUUGAAGUAUUUAUGAUUAAAUUGGUAUCCGUAUAAUAUAUUUAACACUUUUUUUUUUUUUUGAAAUCUGUAUGGAUUAUGGCUCAAAGUUAGUUUCCACUAUUUUGAAAUUCGACCCACGAAUUACAAGUAAUCAUGCGCAAUAUUAAGCAAAGUCCAAAUCGGGCUCUUGUCAACAAGAUCAUGAGUAACGCAAGAAAUAUAUACUAACUUCUCAAAAAAUUUCUUUUUCUUAUUGAAGAUGAAGUCUAUGUUGAUGUCAGAAAAGUGCUCAUAGUUUCUUGCAUACAAAUAUUAUGUUGUUGAAUUUGGUCUGGUGUGCAUAGUUAGUGCGCUUAAUAUGUACGAAACUUGCAAGAGACACAAAGUGCACCGAGAGCCACAAUUCAAGAGAUUCGAGAGUUUAAGAAAAUUCCUCUCUUGCAAACGAUUUUUGUGGGUUCCUGCUGCAUUUAAAAAAAAAAAAAAACACUUAUAAGUGAGUAUGACUAACUGUAACUUUAUCAUCCUUGAUUAUUGUGGAUUUAUCUCUUUGAUCUCUCCUGGUAGACUAGGCAUAUAAUCAAACCACAUAAAUCUGUUAUUUUUUGGAUUUUAUCUAUGCAAUUUAUAUCUUAUUUUGGGUAUGCGUGUUUCAUAGAAAUCUUCUCGAUGGAAGAAUAUAUUUUCGCAAAAAAUCAUUUUCUAAGGAAAUUGCUUGUCUUUAGUUAUUUGAUGGGAUUCUUGAAGGCGAGACAAAAUUAUUUUCAAUGUUUAAACCUAACUUUAAGAAAUUAAAUGUUAUAAUUAUGGUUUGCUCUAGGGAUGUGCAUGGUCCGGGUGGGCGGUUCCCAACCUAGAACCGGGAACUGCCCGCUAAGGACCGGUUCCAAAAAAUUGGAACCGGGAUCCACCUGGGAACUGGACCGCCGGUCCGGUCCGGUUCCCGGGUAGAUCCAUGGAACCGAUUUUGACGCGAAACAAUUUUAGUUUUCAACAUAGAACGGUCGCGAAACAAUUUUUCGCGGCUGUGGCGGGUGGCAGUCAACGCGAGGGGGCGAACAGCAGCGGCGGAGGAGCAACGGCGGUGGCGUCGACGCUCAGGGAGGAAUUGAAAUGGCGAUAGGAUUAGGAGCAACCGAGGAAGAGACAAAGAGAGAGAGAGAACCAAAGACGAAGGGAGUGAGGCGAUGAGAUCUAAUAUAGGAUUUCUUUUAGUAAUUUUUUUUUGUAAUAUUAAAAAGGUUCCGAUCCGGUCCGGGUGGGCGGAUCCGCCCAUGGAACCGGGAACCGGACCGGUACCUACCGGUUCCGAAAAAUUGGAACUGAAAACCGGACUGGUUCCCUCAAGAACUGCCGGUUCUGGAUAGUUCCGGUCCAGUUUCGGGCGGUCCGGGCGAUUCUCGGGUAUUUUGCACACCCCUAGUUUGCUCCUAAUAUGCGAUACCAAAGUGAUAUCCAAAUCAUUGUCUAAAAUAUUACUAAUGUUUGGACUAUAAAAUUUUAUGGAUUUUUAUUAUCAAAAUAAUGCAACCUAAAAAAAGUACGCCCAAGAAGAAAAUGCAAAUAAUUAACAAAAUUAAUUGAUCAAUACUCCUUCGAACCAAAAAAAAAAAAAAUCAAUAAGUGCUCAUAAAAAUUUACGUGAAAAUAGAUUUCCAUUCCAAAAAAUUAAUCAAAGAGGGAUACACAAUAAAAAUUCAAACUGGAAAGAAAAAAAAAAAAGAAGAGGAAAAAGAAAAGUCAUCGUAAAAUUAAAGACAAGAACAUCCUAAAUUGACAUUUCCACGGACACCUCUUGUAUUAUCCUUCUAAAAUAUGUAUCAUACAGCCGAGUGACAAAUAACCAAAUAACAAUUUAGUCUACAGAGAUGCAACAAAUUGAGCAAUUGAAGCUAAUUCUAAUAUCAAUUUGAAGAGGAGAUGAAACAGUUUUGAGAGUUUGCUGUGAAGAAAAGAAAGGAUAGAGAGUGAAGACUAGUAGGGACAGAGGGAGAACAGGGGACGCUUGUAGAAAAUGAGUUUGAAAAAACCGAUUUCUUCUUUUUAGGAUAGAGAAGUCAUUUUCGUGGAUGUUGAGUAUUGUUUUUUUUUUCUUGCCUGAAAAGUUUUUUCAAUAGAUUGUCCAUUUUCAACAAAUCAAACGUGUUGACCUUUAGAAAAUCAUUUCAUGGAAGUCCUUUCCAUAAAAACAAUGACACCCUCCAAAUUGCUUCGAUUCUUCACAUUUUCACGCUAGUCAAAACAGUUCGAUCUUUCAAACCAGUUCAUUAAAAGGCGACGGCACGGUAAGGGAAGAUCCAUUUACAUCGACAUCUUAGAGAGGCACAGAAUGAAACUUUAUACCAAUACAGCAGAGAACAUAUCCUCCGGAAGAAUAACAGAGCAAUCGCACCCAAAAGUGCAGUAAGCGGGAAACUACUGGCUUCUGUUUCCCCACCAUUGCUACCAGAAAACAACCCCAUGCCCCUUCUUAUACGAGACACGUUUGCACUCAAAUGUCCUUUGUAUCAUAGCGGCAAUGCAAUGACAAACGGAAAACAACUUUCAAAAGGACGAGGCAAAAUAAGACUAUGCCGAUGAAAAUAAGUACAGAAAGCUGAAUCAUUCGCGAGAAACCACGACCACCUGUUUCCCGAAGUUGCGACCAGAGAACACCCUGACAAGAGCUGAUGGACCAUUCUCGAGCCCUUCUGCGAUGUCUUCCAUGUACACAAUCUUCCCCUCUUUAAUCUGAGGCAAUGCCGUCUCGAGGAACUUCGGGUAGAGAUGAUAGUAAUCAGUUACCACGAAACCUUCCAUCCGAACCCGCUUCAGGAUAAGGUUCAUCAAGUUGUGUAUGCCUUCGGGCUGCUCAAGAUUGUACUGUGAGAUCAUUCC